AGAUAUGGGACACACGCUAUAAUUUUUUCAUUUGGUUGUGGUAAUGCAAUUGCCUUGCGAUGCAUACCCACUGCCAUCACAGCUGCCGUCGCAAGCCGGCUGCCGCCUUCGGCUGUACAGCGAGAGGAGGGGCGGUACAUUGCGGCGGCUGCGACGGGAAGAGGAAGAACAGUGCAUAGGGGAAGCAAAUUCUUGUUCAUUCACGAUACAAUUCGGAUUGAUUCAUUAUGCUGUGAUCCGGAGGUGGUGACUAGGGAGGGGGUGUUGGAAUUACUUUAUUGGUGGUGUACAAUUCUUGGAUAGAAGAAAGGUUUCACUUUUUUUGUCUGUUAGUUCAGGAUUGUUUCAUUUACAUUUACAUGUUUGUUCAGUAAACCAGUAUAAAUAUUGAUUGAAUUGGUUUCAAUAAAACAGGGUGGAUCUUAUUCUUGCUGAAGUGCUAAACUCUCUUGUAUCUGUCACUCGCUUGAUGCAGAAAUUCCAUCGAGAAUGGCUUAAUCUCUUGUUAUUUCCAUAUUUCGAUAAUGGUCCAUUUUUGCUGUGGCUAGUUUGCUUUGAUCAGUUCAACCAGAAUGGCCUCAUAUAUUGCUGUGUUAUUUCCAUCUUUCGAUAAUGGUCAAUUUUUGCUGUGGCUAGCUUGCUUUGAUCGGUUCAACCAGAAUGGCCUCAUAUAUUGCUGUUUCUAUUUGACCUACUAUCUCCAUACGCUAGGUCCAAAUUUAUUGCUGUUUUUCUCCUUGUUCAUCCAGAAUUGCCUACUUUGUUCAUCCAGUAUGGCCUUAUCUACGCCUGUUUCAACUUUGCCUGCUUGUUCAUCCAGAAUUGCCUGUCUGUUCAUCUAAGAAGGCCUAAUCUGCUGAUGUUUCUGUUCUGCCUACUUGUUCUUCCAGAAUUGCCUACUGCAUUGUUGAUUAUUUAGUUUCAGUAUUUGUCUGUCAUGUAUGUCUGUUCUAGUAAUUGCUUAUCUGUUUCGUCGACGAGGGUUUACAAGAGAUGUUGCUGUCUUUUGGGUGUUUUUGCUCAGAAUUGGCGAUGGCUUGUGCUGUAGCUCCUUGACUUGUAGAGAGAAGCGGAAGCAGCAUCAGAAUACCAAUCUUUACAGAUGUGUGGCACACCUGCACAGCUUGAAAGAAAGCAAAAGGGGCAAUAUUAUUGUUGUUGGUUAAGAUCAACUUUUAUAUCGGAAAGCGAUUAGCGCGAGCUACACAGGACAGGGACCUCCCAACAGACUCAUAAUUCAGGGGAUUAAUACUGCUAAUACGCUAACUAAUCCCAACUAGAACUCCACUAAAAUUGCCAGCAAUACAUGUAGCCGCCCUUUAAAUUACUGUUAAGAUUCUUGUGAGAGAACGGCAGGAAUAUAGGAAAAUUAAGCUCAACCGAAUCAUCUUUUCCACUUCUUUUGCGAGGGAGGUUGAAUUAUUUGAAACCUGGAACAGUCGUCGAUUUGCCAAAGGCUGUCUGUCUGGUGUCAACAUCUGAAAUUGCAGCAGCAACAGCAGCAUCUCGAUUAUUGGUAUGCUUUCUUUUGUGGAGAAAUGAUUGAUGAGACCGAAAUGUGGCAGCACAACAGUUAUUGCCCAUGAUCAGCACCAUGUUCUGACGAUGGUUUUGUAAGCAGCUGGACACCCUCCCUCCCCUUCUGAAGUCUCCGAGCUGUGUUACCUUAACCACAGGGCACCGAACAUCGGCCGCCCGAUCCCGCGAUCGGACGGCCCUCGGUAGCCGCGGCCACGUUGCCUGGCAACGCUUUACACAUACACGACACAUCGCCCAGGCUGGAGGCCGCCGUCGAGCAGCUGGAGGGCGAGGCAGGUGGUAGUGGCGCGAGCUCAUGAUUGCGUGUGCGUGGGUAUUCAUAUUCCCUCGUCUUUUUUACCCGAAAAAAAUAUAUAUUCUCUCGUCUUUUGGCCUUCUCCCUCCCUUUUGCUCCAUGUUGCGAGUGAGAUGAACUCCACCACCUACUGGCCGCUCGCCACUGGCCAUCAACCACCCUACCCGACCCAUAUUCAAUUCCACCCCCACAUGCUCCAUGCCCGUAUACUAUGCUAUGCGUCCCGAGGCAAAAACUAACACGACUUGGUUUUCAUUUCGUUCGGUCGUGCCGAUGGGCACUGCCCAACGGACGUGGUGGUACGACCGGCCCCUUUCGCAGCCUCGUGCGUGCGUGCGGUCUCCGUCGGACCGUCGAUCGCCGCUGCUUUGCUUUGUGCCUCGUGCACGAAGGUUCUUGCCACUAUCGUCGGCGGCAGGUUGGUGCCGCGGCAGCGCGCAGUGUCGGCCACCGGAUAUGGCCGUCCCGGCCCGUGGCGGGGAGUUUCGGUGGAUCGGCGCGGCGACCGAUCGGGUGGUCCGGCAGGGCUCUUUCGGGCUCACGACACGCCGCGGUAUCCACAACUCGGGAGACGACGGGAAGGGUGGGCGGCUGGCGAGUGGCGAUCGUGGCAGCUGCUGACAGGGCGUCCGUGUUUGGUUAGGGUGGUUAGGGGGAGAUGGUCUGUUGCAGAGGGUAGGGAAGCAGAGGCUGCAGAAGGCGCCAAACCGUCGGGGACUAGGCUGGGAGAUUAGCAUAACGAACUCAGAUGAGAUGGACGCCUAGUGAUCGGACGAACCACCGCCGCAGGGCAUUGGGUGGGCCGCCGUGGCCACCGAAGGCAGCUGCCGUCUGUUUUCCUAUGUGGCGGUCGGCGUUAAGUGUCAUGAUUGUUGUGUGACGUGUCAGCAGAUUAGAGAAGCCGGGCUUGACAGUGACUUGGUUCUUUCUCUGUACCAUACCAUAUAUUGUACUACUAAUAAUAAGUUUUUUUUUUGUGAGUUUCGUUCGUCGACAGUAUGUAUGUCGUGUUUUGUUCGCACCUGUAAACUUACGUUACAUGUUGAUGCAAAGGAGUGUGCCGCUAACAGCUCCCAGCUGCUGCUUCUUGUAACAAUAUAUUACUGUAUUAUAAAGAACAGGGGAACAAAAGAGGAGAGCCGGCAGGGCUAUCCGAGGGCGAGAGGUUUGGAAUGUCCUGCAAUGAUUCGCGUGGGCAGCAGACAUUGAUGCUCAACUGAUUUGGUUAAGCAACGAACCAGAAUCUUUUUCACAGCCCGGUAGGUCACCUAAAUGCGUGCAGGUAGCUACCCCCCCGCGAAAAAGGGAAUAAUUAUCGAUGCCAGGGUCAGUAUGAGUAGUGCACGGCCGUCCUGGCCUGCAUUCGUUGCACCAAACUGCAAGUCCUGCCUCUUGUAGUCUUGCGAUAAACGAGAGGGGCUGUGCGGCGAGACGGCGUCAAGUUUGCAAGGGCGCAGGACAGGUUUGGUGAGGCGUCUGGUGUGGGUUUCAGGGUCACUUUGUUGUGAAAACAAAUGAACAUGGGGAAAGAGAUGGUGAGAAAUACUCCCUCCAUUUCAAAAUAUAGUGCGCCCAUGUUUCCCGAUGUCGAACUUUGACCAUAAAUUUAAUAAACGAGACCGACUGCGGCGGGAGAAAAAGUUACAUAAUUAAAAAUUUCUUUCGAAUACGAAUUCAAUAUAACUUUUGCCCCGCCGCAAUCGAUCUUGAUAGUUAAAUUUACGGUCAAAGUUGAAGCACGUAGAUAAAGAAAGCAUUACAUUGUGGAAUGGAGGGAGUAGCAAGAUGUUGAGAUCACGCGUGGAGCGAGGUACAGUUUGCUAUAAGUGUCAGAGGCAUCGGAUCGGAUGCUUGGGGUGGAGGCCGGGGCAGUGGGGGCACCCUUGCCUUGCUUGGCACCGAAGUUUGUGGAAUAUGCAGAGAUGCGAACCCUCGCGUUCCGGGACUGGUCCUGCGGAACAAAUCAAACUUGGACGAUUCGGGGAAUAUAAAGCUGGAAGUGGACUAAAAGGCGGCAUAUCAGCAACGAAUCGGAGGUUGGAGAGCGUUGGCAACAGCAGCGCGUCGUCUCUCGUCGGGGCCAACCACGGGCAGGCUCAGGCGUUCGUGGAAAAUUCCUUGCCUGCUGGAAGCGAAAGCGGUGCCUGAGGCAGAAGCGCUGUGUAGGCUGAAGCAGCAUAAUUUCUCUUCUUUCUUUGAUCGUCAUUUGAACAUGGGAAUGUGGAAAGUUACUGUUUGAAACCAUUGGCAGGCCAUGGUUAAAGAACUCUACGAGAUCGAAUCCAGCCCAGCAAUUAACCACGUUAUUUGAUUGGCCUGGCUUAAAUAACGCUGAACACCGAGACAUGCGCUAAGGACCAAUCCUUAAAAAAAAAUUAGAAGUACCUAUGAGCACAUGCGCACACCAUAUCCCAUAAGCAUCUUCAACGGACCGACCGGAUUUUCAGAUUGACGAAAUAUCACAUGCACCUUGCUAUCACCUCCACUAAAAAAAUAUUCUGCCUUUAUAAGACACAUAUGUGUCAAACAUAGGGAUGAUCCUUGUUGGACUAUGUAAAAUCACCCUCCUAAGAGCAUUUCUAGCAGACUUCGUAUAAUGCCGCAACCCACAGAAUAAUCGUUAAAAUACGGAUCCGCGCGCAAAAACCUACGCGCAAAUGCGUCCGAUCCGUAAAUUGUUUUUUUGCAGGGCGCGACAUAAUUCCCCUCCCAACCCGCGAAAACGCGGGUUCGCCCCAUCGGCACCCUAUAUAUAGCGGUAGCGGCUGGCUGCCGGGGGGAGGGGGGGGGGCAUUUCAGCCCGCGCUUUUCCCCACCUCCCGCCACCUACGAUUCCGGCCAAACUAGCCGGCGGGAUCACGCCGGAGGGCCGCCACACGGCCGAGCUUGCCCUCCGCCACUUCCUCCUGCGUCGGCGGGCCGGAAAGUUGCAGAUCAGCGACUGUUCGACGUGGCAGCCGGAUUUGGCGUUUCCGGCCACCGGAGGCCGGGCCAAGCCAUGGAUUGGUCGGGGAGCACCCCGCGUAGCCCCGGCAAAGCCCCAGCGCCGCGUGCAGGUACUGGUUCGUCUUGUAGCCGCUGUCGUCGGUUUGCCGGCAAGGAUUCGGCCGGCCGUCCGCCUGGCUCGGCGCUCGCGCAGCGGCUCGCCGAUGCCGGUCAUACAGUGCGAUGAUUGCAAGCGGACAAUGUUGCGGCUAACUUCUGGCACGCCGAAGCACCCCAGCUGGGUAUUCUUCAAAUGCGAAAACGACGGGGUAUGUGUUGUUUCCAUUCGGCUUUGUCACCCUUUCUUCCGUUCAAUUUCGAUAGCUUAUGACAUCGUCAUGUGUGUAGGAAGAUGAAUGCUCAUUUUGGUUUUGGGAAGGAGAAUACAUUGAUUUAUUGAUAGAAAGAAAUUUAAUAGAUGUUCGUGCACUCCUUAGUAGAAUUGAGGUUAAUGAUGCGGCUGCAUGUGCAAUUAGAGAAAAAACUAGGGGAGAAGCAACGUCUACUUCUUUAGAAUCAAAGAAGAAGAAUGAAGAAUGCAAGAUCAAGAAACCGCAGAUCAACAACGAAUGCAUGGAGAAGAUAUUGGUCCAACUAGUGGGAGCAGUUAUGGAAGUUGGAUAUCUUCUAAAAUGCAUAAUUAUGAUUCUUGUUUUCUUUGAUCUUACUAUUCUAUGAAAGAUUUGGUGAAUUACUAUGUAUCCAAUGCCCUUGAAGAAAAUAAAAAAUCAAAGAAAUGUAUUUUCAUGUCUGAAAUUCAAAUGCAAAUUUCGGAUUUGCGGGCUGGCGCGGGCGGCGGCCGAGUAGACCCCGCAAACCGACCCAUAAAAAGCAUAUUAUGCGAAUAUCCUUUUUUACAGGUCUGUUUUGCGGGGUCUGACUCUGCCGCUGCUCGCGUCGGCCCGCAAAGUCGUUUUUCCGCGAACUGUAUACGCGUUUUGCAGGUCGGCAUUAUGCAGGAUUUGCUAGAGAUGCUCUAACCAUCCAGUAGUGGAGCUAGCCCACUGGGCCUGUGUGGGCCAACAGUGAAAAUUGUUUAUUUUUUCAUUUUUAAAGCCUUGCAAAACCCAGGGAGGCCCAAUAUGAGGGUGGGCCAUGACCCGCCCGGACACAUGUUGGUGCUCACGCGCUUAGGUCCAAUAUUAAAUCUUGGUUCCCUAAAUUUACAUCUAUACCAAUAUAUAAAGAUACAAAGUGACAUAUCCAACUAAUCUCGCCCAUCAAAUUAUGUUCAUCCAAUGACCUAAUAGAUUCAAUAGUGAGCACUCAACAUGUCUAGCGUGCAAUCAAUAUCAUAACAAAUAUUAAUGUUAGCGCUAACCACAUACUCCCUCCGUUCCUUUAUAUAAGGUUUAUUUGUUUUUUUAAUAAAAUUCCAGAAUGUAAGGUGCAUUUAUUAUAUUUCCUUAUAAUUCCCUUGUUAGCCCUCUAGAAAAAGGAAAGUAUCUCUCUCCUGAUUGUCUAUAUCUCUCCUUAUAGUAAAAUAAGAAAACUAUCUCUAUGUUGAUUACAUGUAUCUUUUACUUUCCUGGACUAACUGAUUUACUUGUCACUAACCAAUAAAUUUGCCAAGGAAAGUACUAUAUGCUCCGCAUUACUUUUCUGGUACAACAGCAUCAUGGUGGGAAAACCUAUGCCACACGCAUCCCAAUGGAGGGGACAUGACCUGGGAGCAAUUCAAGGAAAACUUUCGGGGAGCCCAUAUCCCCAAUAGUAUCAUGAAGUUAAAGAAACGAGAGUUUGAGGAUCACAAGCAACGGGGCACAACAGUAACCCAAUACCUGGACCAAUUUAAUCAGCUAGCUCGGUACGCCAAUGAUGAGUACAUGACAGAGAACAAAAAGAUGGAAAAGUUUAUGAACGGACUUGUUCCAUCUCUGAAGUGACAAUUGGUGGUUCACACCUUUCCAGAUUUCAAGACAUUGGUAUACAAGGCUAUUAUUCUGGAAAAUGAGCACCACAACCUGAAUGAGAUUCACAAGCGCCAUAUGAACUAGUCAGCACCGGUCCGCAACAACAGGCCCCGAAAUGAAUUUUAGAAGACUAUGAUACGCCGACCAGCAGUACCGACACCACGACCGCAACAAAAUCGCAGCACUUUCAACAAUCGGGCCAAGGAAACUGUGUACCGUCCUGGCAUUACUUGCUACGCCUGUGGUGCGGAAGGGCAUUACGCUAGGCAGUGCCCAAAAUAGGGAAAUAAUGCUCCAAGACCCAAUAACAACGGCCGCAGGACAAACGCAACCCCACGACACAACAACCCCAAUAACAACCAAAGAAAGGGACAAGUUAAUCAUGUGACGUUUGAGGAAGUCCAGAAUGCACCGGACAUCGUGUUUGGUAUGUUCCCUGUCAACACAAUUAAUGCUACAGUUUUAUUUGAUUCCGGAGCUUCCCAUUCGUGCAUCUCUAAAAGAUUUGCAUUGAAGAAUCAAUUUUCUUUUUCGCCGUUGGAAAAUUCAAUGGUUAUUCAGUCCCCGGGAUCAAAGCAAAGUACGCAAUGGUACUGCAAGGAUGUGAGCAUUGACAUCAAAGAAACGAAGUUUUAGCCAACCUUAUUGUGUUGGAAGCAGUCGAUCUGGACGUCAUUCUGGGAAUGGACUGGUUGAUUGCAAAUAAAGGUUUUAUAGACUGCUACAACCGUACAAUAACUCUCACACACUGUCAAGGGAAAGAAGUAAAUGUUGGUACAAGGAUAAUAUCCACCUCACAGGGAAAAUUAAAUCAAGUGGACAUGACAGACUUACGCAAAGUUCGUGUGGUAUGUGAAUAUCCAGACAUUUUCCCUGAGGAUCUACCAGGCAUGCCACCGGAUCGUGAGAUUGAGUUCGUUAUCGAACUAGCACCCGGAACGGCACCCAUCUAUAAGAAGCCGUACCGCAUGGCACCAACAGAGCUGGUUGAGCUAAAUAAGCAAAUCAAGGAGUUAUUGGAGAAGGGUUAUGUCCGACCCAGCUCGUCACCAUGGGGAUCAUCGGUGUUAUUCGCCAUGAAAAAGGAUGGCACCUUAAGGUUGUGUAUUGAUUAUAGGGCACUCAACCUGGUCACCAUCAAAAAUAAAUAUCCACUGAUGAAGCUAUGUACCUAGGGUAGGAUCAUGGACCUGUCCUAACUGCCCUACCCAAGGACAUCUCUAGAAGAAACCACCUUUCAAUCGACUUGGAGGUGUUCCACUCGACAGACUCGAAGACGCUCGACCAAGAAGCAAUCACUCGACCAAGACCCAACCACUCGACGACUAGGAGACCUAAAGGCACUCCGCACGCUAAAGGUCGGUCAUUAAGUAGCUUUUAUGGUCAUCAUAACACUUUAUUACUAGCGUUACCAGUAACGCCCUGCCUUAAUGUACAUUGAACCCUUUGUAACAUGGGCUGGCCGGGGUCCUGGUGCACUCUAUAUAAGCCACCCCCCUCCUCCGAGACAAGGGUUCGCACCUCUGUAACCCAUAUUCAUAUAAUCCAGUCGACCGCCUCCGAGCUCCAAGACGUAGGGCUAUUACUUCCUCCGAGAAGGGCCUGAACUCGUAAACCUUGCGUGCUUACAACUUCUCCACAGCUAAGAUCUUGCCUCUCCGUACUUACCCCCCUACACUACUGUCAGACUUAGAACCACGACAGUUGGCGCCCACCUUGGGGCAGGUGUUUUAGCGUUUGUUGGAGAAGUUGCGACUUUUUCCCGACCCGAAUCGUCAUGGUUUUCGGCGGAGCGGUGGAGGGCCGCGAGAUCCGUCUCGGCGCGCUCACGUUCAUCGUCGACGACUCUGCUUGGCUCCAGGAGGCUCCGCUCGACGUGGACGCACUCCCUGCUCGCGGGGCAACGCACUUUAGCGCGUGUGUCCGCGGCGUUCUCCUGCGGCAACUGUCGACCCCCUAUCGGUCGGCUCCUGUGUUGUCCUCACUCCCCGUUUCCUGCCGGCGCAAGCGUUCUGGUCGGUCGAGACUUCAGCGGUGGGUGAGGCACGCGGUGGCGCGUCAGUCGGCCACCCCCCAGGUCGCGGCGAUCGAGCCCGACGAAUCCCUCUACGGCCUAUUCGACUGGCUCCGCAGAGACCGCAUCCGAGUGCGACAGCAACGAUCCGGUGGAGGAGGUUCUGAUGGUCGAUGGACCGCCCAGUCCUCCCGGUUUUACCCGUACCGACAGAGGCGCGGGUGGAGGCGACCCGUCGCGUCUCCAUGAGGAGUAUCUUCCCCAGCCUCUCACAUCGCUGCAGAGAGAAGAACUUCGCCGCCGGAACAUGGAUGCACUGCACACUCCUAUCGUUGGAGAGACCCCCGAGGCUCGCGCCUUGGAGGACGCCUGCCUGGCAAACUUGGCCGAGCGCACUCGACUGGAGAACCUCCAGCGAGCACUCGACGAGCGUGCGCGACAACGGAUUCCCGAAUCCAGUCGACGUCAGCUCUUCCCGCCCCCGCAGGUAUAUCGAACUCCGGUUCAGAAUUUAGCAGCUGCGGCCCGUAUAGUGGAGUCGAUUCAACCUUCCCAGUCGGAGGCUGGCAGAGGCUUGCUGCAGAUCAGAGCGUUACUCCGGGCAGCAGGAGAUCAGAAUUCCGCUGUUUCUCAGUCGCGGAACAGGAUUCACAGCAGAUCCGUUGUCGCGGACACAGUCCAGUCGGCUCACAGCCCGAGAUCGCCCCCGAGGCGUGAGGGACGUGGAGACCGGCGUUACCAGUAUGGGAACCAUGAGCAGUAUGAUCACCGAGUCGAUCGUGACGGUCGACGUCGAGUGCCCACGCCUCCCCCGAGGAGCGGGUCGUAUGUGCCUCGCUAGCAGGAUGACAGGCGCUCUCAUAGUGGUGGGCGAAGGAUUCCAGUCGACCCCAGAGGGCCAGGCUUUGACGCGAGAUCCAUUCUCGUCCAGGGUUUGGUCGACAGGAACAGGGCUCACCGAGAAGGUCACGACAGAGAUGCACCUACUAGCAGCAGAGUACAUGUUUCGGGGCCAGAAUGCUUUAGUAGAGCCACCAGGGCCGCUGUGAUUCCUCCCAACUUUAGGUUGGCGACUGGAGUCAGUAAGUUCACUGGCGAGUCCAAGCCCAAUACUUGGCUUGAAGAUUACCGAGUGGCCGUCCAGAUCGGCAGCGGCAAUGAUGAAGUGGCCAUGAAGCACAUCCCUCUCAUGUUGGAGGGCUCGGCCAGAGCGUGGCUGAACCAGUUAGCACCUAGCAGCAUUUACACUUGGGAGGAUCUCUCCCGAGUUUCGUCACCACAUUUGAAGGUACGUGCAAGCGGCCGGCAGGGCUGACGGAACUGCGGUCUUGUGUACAGAAGCCAAAUGAAACUUUGAGGGAUUACAUUCAGAGGUGGAUCACGUUACAUCACUCGGUGGAGAAUGUGCCUGACCACCAAGCAGUUUGUGCCUUCAAGGAAGGCGUCAAGUACAGAGAACUGAAUUUGAAAUUCGGUCGAACUAGGGAUAUGUCCCUGAAUCGAAUGAUGGAGAUUGCCACCAAGUACGCUAAUGGCGAAGAUGAAGAUCGACUCAGGAGUGGCAAACUCAAGUCAGUCGCCCAAGAACCCGGGGGCAAUUCCAAUCGGAAACAGAAGCAGAAAGCCGAGCCAGUGGCUCCCGGAGAAGUCUUGGCUUUAACCCAAGGAAAGUUUAAAGGGAAACCAAAAGGGCCUUGGAACCCGAAAAAGGUUAAAGACUAGGACGGAAAUGAUGUGUUGGACUUGCCAUGUCUCAUCCACACAAAGAAAGAUGAAGAGGGUAAUUUCAUUUACCCGAAACAUACCACUCGACAGUGUCGACUCUUGAUCCAGCAGUUCCAGGGCAAACAAACCAAAGGUAAGGAAAAGGGGUCGGACAAGGUCGAGGACAAAGAGGACAGUGACGACGGAUACCCUCAAGUCAAUUCCACCUUGAUGAUUUUUGCUGAUGUUGAGAGCAAAAAUCGAUUGAAAGUCAUAAACCGAGAGGUGAAUAUGGUUGCUCCGGCGACACCAAGUUAUUUGAAAUGGUCCCAGACUGCCAUCACGUUCGACCAGUCCGAUCACCCAACGCAUAUUGCCACCCCUGGGAGGCAAGCUCUGGUGGUCGACCCAGUGGUUGAAGGCACUCGACUGACCAAAGUCUUGAUGGAUGGUGGCAGUGGUUUGAACAUAUUGUAUGCUGAGACAUUGAAAGGGAUGGGCAUUCCGAUGUCCAGACUCAGCGCCAGCAACAUGAGUUUCCACGGAGUCAUUCCUGGGAAGAAGGCUGAAUCACUCGGCCAGAUUGCUCUUGAUGUGGUUUCCGGUGAUUCCAAGAAUUACCGCAAAGAAAGGUUGACAUUUGAAGUUGUAGACUUCCAGAGUGCCUACCACGCUAUUUUGGGCAGGCCGGCUUAUGCAUGCUUCAUGGCCCGACCGUGUUAUGUGUAUCUUAAAUUGAAGAUGCCUGGCCCCAAAGGUGUGAUCACUAUUACGGGCAAUCGGAAGAAAGCGGAAGAAUGUUUUCAGAAAGGUUCGAAGAUCGCCGACACUCAGAUGGCAGUGGUGGAGUUGCGGGAAUACCAGAAGACUGCAGACCCGAGUGAUUUGUUGCGAGCCAAGAAGCCCGCUACAGAGUCAGGUUUUCAGUCGACUGGCGAUACAAAGACAGCUCAUAUCCACCCGACCGACCCCAGCGCUGCUCCAACUCAUAUCUCGACAACACUCGACUCCAAAUAGGAAGAAGCGCUCAUCUAGUUCCUCCGUGAGAACUGGGACAUUUUCGCAUGGAAGCCCUCUGACAUGCCGGGUGUUCCCAGGGAGCUGGCUGAGCACCGCCUAAGAGUCGACUCAAAAAUAAAACCUGUCAAGGAACAUCUCCGAUAGUCCGUCGUCCAGAAGAGAAAGGCCAUUGGCGAAGAGGUAGCUCGGCUCUUAGCGGCAGAGUUCAUUCGAGAAAUCUACUACUUUGAGUGGCUCGCCAAUGUUGUCAUGGUCCCCAAGAAGGACAAGUCACUUCGCAUGUGCAUUGACUUUAAACAUAUCAAUCGGGCCUGCCCGAAAGACCAUUUUCCUCUCCCCCGCAUUGACCAGAUAGUCGACUCGACUGCGAGAUGUGAGCGACUAUCUUUUUUAGACGCCUAUUCCGGGUACCAUCAGAUCCGUCUGUAUGGACCUGACGAGAUCAAAACAACUUUCUUCACUCCAUUCGGGUGCUUCUGUUAUGUUACCAUGCCAUUCGGCCUCAAGAAUGCCAGAGCCACAUUCAUGAGGAUGAUUCAGAAGUGUUUGCUCACCCAAAUCAGUCGGAAUGUGGAGGCGUACAUGGAUGAUAUUGUGGUCAAGUCACAGAAGGGUUCCGACCUGCUGACUGACCUUGCUGAAACCUUUGCCAACCUCAGAAGGUUUGAUAUCAAGCUUAAUCCAUCAAAAUGCACAUUCGGGGUUCCUGGCGGAAAGUUACUCAGUUUUCUCGUUUCCGAAUGGGGAAUCGACGCCAAUCCAGAAAAGGUUGGUACUAUACUCUGAAUGAAAAGUCCUGUGCGAGUGCACGAUGUUCAGAAGCUUACUGGUUGCUUGGCCGCCCUAAGUCGAUUCAUAUCUCGUCUCAGUGAAAAGGCAUUACCUCUUUACCGAUUAAUGAAGAAGUCUGACAAGUUCGAGUGGACUCCUGAAGCUGACACAGCGUUCGCAGAACUCAAAGCUCUGCUCUCCACCCAGCCGGUGCUUGCUGCCCCAAUCAGCAAGGAGCCUUUGCUGCUUUACAUUGUAGCCACAGGACAAGUCGUCAGUACGGUACUCACGGUCGAGCGGGAAGAAGAAGGGAAAACCUUCAAAGUUCAGCGCCCAGUGUAUUAUAUUUCUGAAGUCUUGACCCCAUCGAAGCAAAGAUAUCCUCAUUAUCAGAAGCUCGUAUAUGGGAUUUAUAUGACCACAAAGAAAGUUGCCCACUACUUCUAUGAUCAUUCCAUUACAGUCGUCAGCGACGCUCCGUUGUCAGAGAUCUUGCAUAACAGGGACGCAACUGGUCGAGUGGCAAAAUGGGUGAUUGAACUCCUUCCUCUAGAUAUCAAGUUUGAGGCAAGGAAAGCUAUCAAGUCCCAGGCAAUCGCGGAUUUCGUCGCCGAGUGGAUUGAACAGCAACUGCCGACUCAGGUCCACUCGGAGCAUUGGACCAUGUUCUUUGACGGUUCCAAGAUGAUAAAUGGUUCCGGAGCCGGAGUGGUGUUGGUCUCUCCCAGAGGAGAUAAACUCAGAUAUGUUCUUCAAAUCCACUUUGAUUCCUCUAACAACGAGGCAGAAUACGAAGCACUUUUAUAUGGGUUGCGCAUGGCCAUUUCACUCGGCGUCCGUCGCCUCAUGGUCUAUGGCGACUCAGAUUUGGUGAUCAAUCAAGUGAUGAAGGAAUGGGAUGUCAGAAGUCCAGCCAUGACUGGUUAUUGCAAUGCAGUGAGAAAACUGGAGAAGAAAUUCGAGGGGUUAGAGCUUCAUCACAUACCCCGACUGAAAAAUCAAGCAGCUGAUGAUCUGGCAAAAAUAGGUUCCAAAAGAGAAGCCAUUCCCAGCAAUGUGUUUCUGGAACACAUCCACACACCAUCAGUCCAGGAGGAUCCCUUCACUGAAGAGGCCCCGCAGCCAAAAAGUGCCACGGAUCCGACUGAAGUCGAAGUACCAGCUGUGGUCGACUUGAUCAUGGAAGUCCUGGUUAUCACUCCUGUCUGGACAGAACCGUACAUCGCGUACAUCCUAAGGAAAGAACUCCCAGAAGACGAAGAAGAAGCUCGACAGAUCGUCCGUCAAUCCAAGGCCUUUACAGUCAUAAAGGGACAGUUAUAUAGAGAAAGCGCGACUGGGGUCGGCCAGAAGUGUAUUACACUAGAAGAAGGUCAGAUGAUCCUUAACGAUAUCCACUCGGGGACCUGUGGCCAUCAUGCGUCCUCUCGGACCAUUGUGGCUAAAGCAUAUCGAGCGGGGUUCUACUGGCCAAGAGCCAAUGAGAUGGCCAAAGAGAUAGUCGACAAAUGUGAAGGAUGUCAGUAUUAAUCCAAGCCACACAAGCCCGCGUCGGCCCUGAAAACCAUUCCACUCGUCUGGCCCUUCGCUGUUUGGGGGUUGGACAUGGUUGGACCACUGAGAACAGGCAGGAGCGGCUUCACUCAUGUGCUGGUAGCAGUCGACAAGUUCACCAAAUGGAUUGAGGCCAAGGCUAUCAAGAAUCUUGAUGCUUGCACCGCUAUCAGUUUCAUCAGAGAGUUGAUAUUCAGAUAUGGAGUUCCGCACAACAUCAUCACCGACAACGGGUCAAACUUCGAUUCCGACAAAUUCAGGGCCUUUUGCGCCUCCCAGGGCACUCGGGUCGACUAUGCUUUGGUCGCUCACCCUCAGUCGAAUGGGCAAGCAGAAAGGGAAAACGACCUAAAUCUCUAAGGACUGAAACCCCGAUUGAUGCGCGAUCUCAAGCACGCAGCAGGUGCAUGGGUCGACGAGCUUCCAUCAGUCCUUUGGGGAUUGAGGACAACCCCGAAUCGAUCGACCGAAAGAACCCCAUUCUUUCUGGUCUAUGGAGCCGAGGCAGUCUUACCGAGUGACCUGCUUCACAACGCUCCCAGAGUCGAGCUCUACUCAAAAGAUGAAGCAGAACAAGCCCGGCAGGACGCAGUCGACCUCCUAGAAGAAGAAAGAGAAAUGGCCUUGAUUCGAUCGACCAUCUAUCAGCAAGACUUGCGUUGAUUCCAUGCCAGAAACGUGAAGAGCCGAGCCUUCCAAGAAGGAGACUUAGUCCUCCGAGUGGAUCAGCAGAAACCACACAAGCUCGCCCCUACUUGGGAAGGCCCCUUCAUAGUCACUAGAGUCCUCCACAAUGGAGCAUACCACCUCUACAAUGUCGAUCACCAGAUUGAUGAGCCACGAGCCUGGAAUGCGGAGCUACUCCGCCCCUUUUAUACUUAAAUUCUCACUCGGAUGAGAUGAAAUAAGAAAAACUCCUGAAGUUUAUUUAUCAAAGACAAGAGCGUUAUAAUUUUCCCAGUGAUUAUUAUUGUUUUUUUUGUUUGCGUAAGAAAUCUCCCAGUGGAUGACUUAGCUGCAAAUCCAUUUUGCCUAAGUUUGAAAAAAUCCUACCGAGUGGAGAGCAAUCCUCCCACCCGGGGGGCUUAGCUGCAGUCCAGUACUCGCCUAAGUUCUCUCACUCAGAGACUUAGCUGCAGUCCGGCACUCGCCUAAGUUUGAAAAAUCCUACCGNNNNNNNNNNNNNNNNNNNNNNNNNNNNNNNNNNNNNNNNNNNNNNNNNNNNNNNNNNNNNNNNNNNNNNNNNNNNNNNNNNNNNNNNNNNNNNNNNNNNNNNNNNNNNNNNNNNNNNNNNNNNNNNNNNNNNNNNNNNNNNNNNNNNNNNNNNNNNNNNNNNNNNNNNNNNNNNNNNNNNNNNNNNNNNNNNNNNNNNNNNNNNNNNNNNNNNNNNNNNNNNNNNNNNNNNNNNNNNNNNNNNNNNNNNNNNNNNNNNNNNNNNNNNNNNNNNNNNNNNNNNNNNNNNNNNNNNNNNNNNNNNNNNNNNNNNNNNNNNNNNNNNNNNNNNNNNNNNNNNNNNNNNNNNNNNNNNNNNNNNNNNNNNNNNNNNNNNNNNNNNNNNNNNNNNNNNNNNNNNNNNNNNNNNNNNNNNNNNNNNNNNNNNNNNNNNNNNNNNNNNNNNNNNNNNNNNNNNNNNNNNNNNNNNNNNNNNNNNNNNNNNNNNNNNNNNNNNNAGUGGAGAGCAAUCCUCCCACUCGGGGGCUUAGCUGCAGUCCAGCACUCGCCUAAGUUCUCUCACUUAGAGACUUAGCUGCAGUCCGGCACUCGCCUAAGUUUGAAAAAAUCCUACCGAGUGGAGAGCAAUCCUCCCACUCGGGGGCUUAGCUGCAGUCCAGCACUCGCCUAAGUUCUCUCACUUAGAGACUUAGCUGCAGUCCGGCACUCGCCUAAGUUUGAAAAAAUCCUACCGAGUGGAGAGCAAUCCUCCCACUCGGGGGCUUAGCUACGGUCCAAUACUCGCCUAAGUACGAAACACAUCUCAUUCCUCAAGGACGACGAGGGGCAGGUCGACUGCCACCUUCUCCUGGGGAGCUUCGCCACAAAUACAAUGUGCGCUCCGUCCCACUCUGCAGUAACAGGAUGUGGGUCGACCGCCACCUUCUCCUGGGUAGCUUUGCCAUAAAUACAAUGUGCGCUCCGUCCCACUCUGCAGUAACAGGGUGUGGGUCGACCGCCGCCUUCUCCUGGGGAGCUUCGCCACAAAUACAAGACAUAGGUCGACUGCUUCCCUCUCCUUCGGAGCUGCGCUGCGAAUGCAAAAGUUGUCUCGAAUGAAGAAUGGGUUCACUCAGCAGGAGAUUCAUAAAGAUAUUCAACAGUAAACCAAGUUCGGGUAAAUUCCAAAGGUUCUAAAACACAGAUCGAAGUACUCGGACAUGCAGCCCGAAAAAGUUUAACGGUUACAAAAACCACUCGGCAUUCCAAGGCAAAUUUAAGGUGGGACAUAAGAGUUUGUUCACUUUGCCGGAGGAGGGCUAGCAGGCUCGACGAACUCAUCCAGGUCGACGCCAUCGGCUAUCCGAGUGGCUACAGCGAUGAAAGUCUCCAUAAAGGUUCGGAAGUCAUGCUUCUGGGUGUUGGCGACCUUGAUUGCUGCUAGUUUGUCCUGUCGCACCUCCUUGCAGUGGACACGAACCAAAGACAGAGCCACGUCAGCGCCACACCGAGCAGCAGACUUCUUCCACUCCUGCACUCGGUCGAGGAUUUCAUUUAGUCGAGUCAGCAGGGACUCGAUAUCAUUUUGGAGCACAGCCUCUGGCCAAAGUGCCGGGUCAAUCCGCGACAUGGCGACCUUCAGUCGAGCCAAGUAGUCCACGGCACUGUCGAUGCGAGAUUCCAGACGGAGCAGAUUCAUGGCAGUUUCAUCUUUCACAGGAGAGUUGAUUGGAUCCAAACCAGGCUCGAUCCGCCCAGUCUCCUCUUCAAAGUUCUGGCAAAACUCUGCAUUCACGAUCCAAGGAUAAGUCAAUUUUCGUACAAUGAGUCGACUCAAAAAAAAGUCAGUCGGAACAGAAUGUGCACCUUCAAGCUUGAUGAACAGCUUCUUGGCAAGACUUCUCAGAUAACUCUCCAGAUCAUCCCUCCUGCGAGCAAUGCCUUCCAUUUUCUCGCCCCGGAUGAGAUUCGCCUUUUUCCAGCGCGAGCACUCCUUGUUGGAGUCAUUCAGAGCAGUCUUCAGCCUGGUAUUCUCUUCUUCCAACUGGCCUACCGAAGCCAGCUUCUGUUCGGCCAGAGCGGUCUUGUCGUCAGCCUCCUUACGAGCAGCGGCCAAAUCCUGAUCCUUCUUCGCCAGAGCUUCUCUCAGUUUUUCUGCAAAGAAAUGAUGAUUGAUUCAGAAAUAGCAGAAGGGUACCCAAGCCUAAAACCGACCAGUUGACAAACUCGUCUUACCUGCGGCACCGUCUCUGACCUUUUGCAGCUCUGUCGUGGCCAGCUCCAAGUCAAGGUUCAGUUGAAUCCGCUGCUUCUCCAAGUCAGCAAAACGAGCUCCAAGAUCACAAGAUUUCUGAAAUCAAAGGGGAGAAGUUAUUUUUACAGCAAAAAAACAACAACAAAGGCAAUAAAUACUAAGACUACGGUCGACUACCCGCAGUCCACCAUAGUCUCGGGGACUACACCCAGUGGGUGCACUUAGCGUGCCCCCACCGGUUCUGAUCCCACUCGACCGGUCCGCCAGAGUCGAGUGGGGGGAGUAAAAAAAGAGAGAAAGUAGAACUCAGACCACAAUCAACUGCCAGCAGUCGACCGCGGCCUCGGGGACUACACCCAGUGGGUGCACUUGGCGUGCCCCCACCGGUUCUGAUCCCACUCGACCAGAUCGAGUGGAAGAGAUAAACUACCAGUUCGGUUUAUACAUUCGGCAAAAUACAAAGACUACAAUCGACUGCCAGCAGUCCACCGUAGUCUCGGGGACUACACCCAGCGGGUGCACUCAGCGUGCCCCCACAAGUCCAAAAAUUCAAUCGACACACCCACUGGGUGUACAGAUGCAAAGGUUUUCGGAAAGAAUCCUCAUGUAGCAUAUCCUAACAGAACAAGCGGCGACCAACUAACCUGAACGUUGCUCUGGAGAGCCGAGCUAGCAUCAUAGGCGGCUUGGCUGGCGUCUCGCACCGUCUUCAUCUUCUCCAUCAUAAUGCCCGCCUGGCGUAUGGCUUCCUUAGCAGCAUUCACCUCGUCCUUUGGGACAUGAUGGGUCACAAAAACCGAAGACGGGUCGACAGGAGCCUGAGCAGUCGACGAAGAAGGCAAGGCACUCGACAGUGGCUCAGCGAAGGAAACAGAACCCCGGUUGACAUCGCCAGUGUCCUGAACAACUGGUUCCGCCCUCGGCGUCGUCUGUAGCGCCUCGCUUGCAGGAGCUCACCUAUUUUUCCUCGUCAAAGGCCUCUUGGGCUCUUCAUCAUCAUCAGGGAGGUCAAUAACGUUGGGAGCUAUGCAAAGUUCAAUCGUCAAAGUCACAUCACCCAAUGGUAUGCGUUGCAGUUGAAUCGACCAAAAUAAAGACAAUAUGGCAGGGAUCAUACCCGGAUUAGAAGUGACCGCAUCCUCCAUCACCUCAUCUUCGUCCCUGUAAGCUGAGGUCCCGGAGGUAGCAGCGCUGGCAGUUCCAAAGUUCGUCCAGUUAAAACAAGAAAAACAAACAGCGCGGAGCGUCGAGUGAAUGCAAAGAGAGGCACUCACGCGGAAGCGACGGGGAUAUCAAUCUUGAUUUUCGGCAACGCCUUCCGAGUCUUCGGCUCUACAACUCUGGGGUGAUUUGGUGCCUUCUCAGUCGGGGUUGGUGAAGAGAUCCGAGGGCACUUCGAAGACUGACCAGCCGGAGCAGUUGCCUUGUCACGGGCACUCGGCCGUUCUUGGUCAAGCUUGGAUCGCCUCUCCCUGCGAGGAGGCGACUCGACUUCUUCUCCACCGCUUGAGUCAUCGCUUCCUCCAUCCCCUUCACCAUCGGAAGUCCACUCGCCACUUUCGUCGCCACUCGCCUUGCCUUCCAGAGCUUGCUCUUGCUCCCCAUUGGGCAUUGAAUACAUUUCAAUAAUGGCCUGAAAGAAAGCAGGUAGAUCAAAGUCAGUCGACGCAAUAUAGGCAGCUACGCGAGUGAAUUCAGAUUACAAGCAAAAACUCAGAACCAGACCUGCUCUGGUGCGAGGGACUGGUCGAAUGGAGGGACUCUCCUGGCUCCCCUGGGAUUGUCCUUAUUCCCGGUAAUGGCAGACAGCCACUUCUCCAAUGUGUCGUCGUCGACCUCCUCCGGGUGGAUCCGAGUGGAGUCUUCAAGACCCGAAUACAUCCACAUCGGAUGGUCUCGGGCUUGGAGAGGCUGGAUGCGCCGCUGAAGGAAGACCUCCAAGAGAUCCAUACCAGUGACCCCGUCACAAAUAAGCUGGACCACUCGGUCGACCAACACCUUCACGUGCGCCUUCUCCUCCGGGAGCACCUUCAAAGGGGAGGGUUUUUCCACUCGGUCCAUGGUAAAGGGAGGGAGACCAGUCGAUUGCCCCGGCUUCGACUGGUCUUUACAGUAAAACCAGCUCGACUGCCAUCCGCGAACUGAGUCGGGAAGAAUCAGAGCCGGGAAGGAGCUUUUCCCUCUCGUCUGGAUGCCAAGACCCCCACACAUCUGGAUCACUUGGGUCCUCUCGUCACUCGGAUUAGCCUUUUUCACUGUCUGGGAGCGACAAGUGAAAAUAUGCUUGAAGAGACCCCAGUGAGGCCGACAACCCAGGAAGUUCUCACACAAUGAAAUGAAAGCGGCAAGAUAAACGAUUGAGUUGGGGGUAAAAUGAUGGAGUUGUGCCCCAAAGAAGUUCAGAAACCCUCGGAAGAAGGGGUGAGGGGGCAAGGAAAAUCCACGGUCGACGUGGGUGGCAAGAAGGACACGCUCACCCUCCCGAGGCUGCGGCUCAGAUUCCUUCCCCGAAAGCCGCGCCGAGUCAUAGGGGAUCAGCCCCCCUUCGGCCAAGUCGUCGAGGUCUUCUUGGGAGAUCCUCAAGUGGAUCCAGUCACCCUGGAUCCAGCCCCUCGGCAGGCCGGACCACGAGGAAGAUCCGCCCUAGCUUGUCGCCUUCCCCUUCGACCUCGCUGUUGCCUUCUUUGCCUGCUCCAGAGCUGCUGUCUUCUCCUUCCCCGUUGUCGCUGGCAAGACGCGUAUGGUGCGGUGGCGCUGGGGCGAGAGCGAGCGCAGCGGAGGGGCGUGAGGAAGAGAAGAGGAAAUGAGAUGCACUGUUUGGGGACUCCGGUCCGGCGCUUUAUAUCAGGCCCCUUCCGAGUGGCUGACGGGUAGGCCAAGGCGGCUCUGUCAAAUCCCAUAAUGACCGCGCGUGCGAUACGUGGCGAAAAAGGUGGCGCGGGGAUCGAGGCGGCUCCUCUCUAUCCCAUCCGAUUACUGCGGCCUCCCCCGUCCCGCGCGCUUCCCAAAAUUCGGAUCCCACGAAAUCUGCGUGCAGCAAACAAUUGGUCAGACCAAAGAUCUCCUCCGCACCAUCACUCGGAGCCUUACAAGUAAAGAAACCCACUCGACGAAGAAUUAAGAAUGGAUCAAGGCGACUGAAAAGGAAGUCGCUGUCGUCACUCGGGUCCGUUGAUCUGAAACAAGAUAUGCUCACGGCAUGAAAAACGAGUCAGAGAAGUUCUCAACUCCUUCCCCACUCAAACCUCGAUCCAUUCGGGGGCUAAUGAUGAAGCUAUGUACCUAGGGUAGGAUCAUGGACCUGUCCUAACUGCCCUACCCAAGGACAUCUCUAGAAGAAACCACCUUUCAAUCGACUUGGAGGUGUUCCACUCGACAGACUCGAAGACGCUCGACCAAGAAGCAAUCACUCGACCAAGACCCAACCACUCGACGGCCAGGAGACCUAAAGGCACUCCGCACGCUAACGGUCGGUCAUUAAGUAGCUUUUAUGGUCAGCAUAACACUUUAUUACUAGCGUUACCAGUAACGCCCUGCCUUAAUGUACAUUGAACCCUUUGUAACGUGGGCUGGCCGGGGUCCUGGCGCACUCUAUAUAAGCCACCCCCUCCUCCGAGACAAGGGUUCACACCUCUGUAACCCAUAUUCAUAUAAUCCAAUCGACCGCCUCCGGGCUCCGAGACGUAGGGCUAUUACUUCCUCCGAGAAGGGCCUGAACUCGUAAACCUUGCGUGCUUACAACUUCUCCACAACUAAGAUCUUGCCUCUCCGUACUUACCCCCCUACACUGCUGUCAGACUUAGAACCACGACAUCCACCACCACGGAUCACUGACUUGUUCGACCAACUGGCUGAAGCCAAGGUGUUCUCAAAAAUAGACUUGAGAUCAGGCUACCACCAAUUAAGGAUCCGACCGUCAGAUGUACCAAAGACUGCCUUUACCACCAAAUAUGGAUUGUAUGAGUUCACUGUGAUGCCUCUUGGAUUAACCAAUGCUCCUGCUUAUUUUGUGCAUCUCAUGAACAAUGUCUUUAUGAAAUACUUGGAUAAGUUUGUGGUUGUGUUCAUUGAUGAUAUACUUAUUUAUUCCAAGACACCAGAAGAACAUGAGCAACAUCUUCGGAUAGUCCUCGAGGAAUUACGGAAAAAUCAACUCUAUGCCAAAUUCAGUAAGUGUGAAUUUUGGUUACGAGAAGUUGGCUUUCUAGGACAUGUUCUGACACGGGAUGGAAUAGCAAUGGACCCAAGCAAGGUAAAAGAUGUCUUGGGAUGGAAGCAACCCACCAGCGUAACAGAAGUCAGAAGUUUUCUUGGUUUGGCUGGCUACUACCGACGAUUUAUUAAAGGGUUCUCCACCAUAGCCAAACCCAUGACUCAGAUGCUCAAGAAAGAUAAAAAGUUUGAAUGGACCGAAGCAUGCGAGAAAAUUUUCCAGGAAUUAAAGAAGAGAGUAACAACUGCACCCGUUCUGACCGUGCCAGAUGUACACAAUUUUUUUGAUAUAUAUUGUGACGCAUCCGGAAAGGGCAUUGGGUGUGUCUUAAUGCAAGAGAGAAAAGUCCUAGCGUAUGCUUCAAGGCAACUACGACGACAAUAAGAGAAUUAUCCUACCCAUAACUUGGAAUUGGCAGCCAUGAUACAUGCACUUAAGGAAUGGCGGCAUUACCUUCUUGGUAACUGAUGUGAGAUAUACACGGAUCACAAAAGCCUUAAGUAUAUCUUCUGAAGGAAAUAUGCCCUAGAGGCAAUAAUAAAGUUAUUAUUUAUUUCCUUAUAUCAUGAUAAAUGUUUAUUAUUCAUGCUAGAAUUGUAUUAACCGAAAACAUAAUACAUGUGUGAAUACAUAGACAAACAGAGUGUCACUAGUAUGCCUCUACUUGACUAGCUCGUUGAUCAAAGAUGGUUAUGUUUCCUAACCAUAGACAUGAGUUGUCAUUUGAUUAAUGGGAUCACAUCAUUAGGAGAAUGAUGUGAUUGACUUGACCCAUUCCGUUAGCUUAGCACUUGAUCGUUUAGUUUGUUGCUAUUGCUUUCUUCAGGACUUAUACAUGUUCCUAUGACUAUGAGAUUAUGCAACUCCCGUUUACCGGAGGAACACUUUGUGUGCCACCAAACGUCACAAUGUAACUGGGUGAUUAUAAAGGUGCUCUACAGGUGUCUCCGAAGGUACUUGUUGGGUUGGCGUAUUUCGAGAUUAGGAUUUGUCACUCCGAUUGUCGGAGAGGUAUCUCUAGGCCCACUCAGUAAUGCACAUCACUAUAAGCCUUGCAAGCAUUGCAACUAAUGAGUUAGUUACGGGAUGAUGUAUUACGGAACGAGUAAAGAGACUUGUCGGUAACGAGAUUGAACUAGGUAUUGAGAUACCGACGAUCGAAUCUCGGGCAAGUAACAUACCGAUGACAAAGGGAACAACGUAUGUUGUUAUGCAGUUUGACCGAUAAAGAUCUUCAUAGAAUAUAUAGGAGCCAAUAUGAGCAUCCAGGUUCCGCUAUUGGUUAUUGACCGGAGACGUGUCUCGGUCAUGUCUACAUAGUUCUCGAACCCGUAGGGUCGGCAUGCUUAAAGUUCUAUGACGGUUAUAUUAUGAGUUUAUGUGUUUUGAUGUACCGAAGGUAGUUCGGAGUCCCGGAUGAGAUUGGAGAUAUCACGAGGAGUCUUGAAAUGGUCGAGACGUAAAGAUCGAUAUAUUGGACGACUAUAUUCGGACACCGGAAAGGUUCCGAGUGAUUCAGGUAUUUAUCGGAGUACCAGGGAGUUACGGGAAUUCGCCGGGGAGUGUAUGGGCCUUAUUGGGCUUUAGGGGAAAGAGAGAGAGGCAGGCCGCGUGCCCCCCAAGGCCUAGUCCGGAUUGGACUAGGGGGAAGGGUUGCGCCCCCUCCUUCCUUCUCUUCUCUUUUCCCUUUCCUUCUCUCCUACUCCUACUACUUGGAAGGGCUCCUAGUUCUACUAGGAAAGGGGGAAUCCUACUCCCGGUGGGAGUAGGACUCCCCUAGGGCGUGCCAUAUAGAGGGCCGGCCCCUCCCCUCCUCCACUCCUUUAUAUACGUGGUUAGGGGGCACCCCAUAGACACAACAAUUGAUCUCUUGAUCUCUUAGCCGUGUGCGAUGCCCCCCUCCACCAUAAUCCACCUCGAUCAUAUUGUAGUGGUGCUUAGGUGAAGACCUGCGUCGGUAGAACAUCAUCAUCGUCACCACGCCGUUGUGCUGACGAAACUCUCCCUCAACACUCGGCUGGAUCAGAGUUCGAGGGACAUCAUCGAGUUGAACGUGUGCAGAACUCGGAGGUGCCGUGCGUUCGGUACUUGAUUGGUCAGAUCGUGAAGACGUACGACUACAUCAACCGCGUUGUGCUAACGCUUCCGUUUUCGGCUACGAGGGUACGUGGACACACUCUCCCCUCUCGUUGCUACGCAUCACCAUGAUCUUGCGUGUGUGUAGGAAAUUUUGAAAUUACUACGUUCCCCAACAGUGGCACCCGAGCCAGGUUUUAUGCGUUGAUGUAAUAUGCACGAGUAGAACAAAAGUGAGUUGUGGGUGAUAUAAGUCAUACUGCUUACCAGCAUGUCACACUUUGGUUUGGCGGUAUUGUUGGAUGAAGCGGCCCGGACCGACAUUACGCGUACGCUUACGCGAGACUGGUUUUACCACCAUGCUAUGCACACAUGUGACUAGCGGGUGUCCGUUUCUCCAACUUUAGUUGAACCAAGUGUGGUUAUGCCCGGUCCUUGAGAAGGUUAAAACAACACUAACUUGACAAACUAUCGUUGUGGUUUUGAUGCGUAGGUAAGAACAGUUCUUGCUCAGCCCGUAGCACCCACGUAAAACUUGCAACAACAAAGUAGAGGACAUCUAACUUGUUUUUGCAGGGCAUGUUGUGAUGUGAUAUGGUCAAGACGUGAUGAGAUAUAAGUUUUUGUAUAAGAUGAUCAUGUUUUGUUGAAGUUAUUGGCAACUGGCAGAAGCCUUAUGGUUGUCUCUUUAUUGCAUAAGAUGCAAGUGCCAAAUAAUUCCUUUAUCGCUAUGCGAUAGGAAUAGUUGCAAGAGCAAUAGUUGGCGAGACGACCAUGUAAUGACACAUUGAUAUAGAUCAAGAUGAUGGAGAUCAUGGUGUCAUGUCGGUGACGAUGGAAAUCAUGAUGAUGCUUUGGAUAUGGAGAUCAAAGGCACAAGAUGAUGAUGGCCAUAUCAUGCCACAUAUUUUGAUUGCAUGUGAUGUUUAUCUUUUAUACAUCUUAUUUUGCUUAGUUCGACGGUAGCUUUAUAAGAUGAUCUCUCACUAAUUAUCAAGGUACAAGUGUUCUCCUUGAGUAUGCACCAUUGAGAAAGUUCUUCGUGCUGAGACACCACGUGAUGAUCGGGUGUGAUAGGCUCUAUGUUCAAAUACAACGGGUGCAAAACAGUUGCACACGCGGAAUACUCAGGUUAAACUUGACGAGCCUGGCAUAUAACAGAUAUGGCCUUGGAACACUGAGACCGAAAGGUCGAGCGUGAAUCAUAUAGUAGAUAUGAUCAACAUAGUGAUGUUCACCAUUGAAACUACUCCAUCUCAUGUGAUGAUCACACAUGGUUUAGUUGAUAUGGAUCACGUGAUCACUUAGAGGAUUAGAGGGAUGUUUAUCUAAGUGGGAGUUCUUAAGUAAUAUGAUUAAUUGAACUUAAAUUUACCAUGAACUUAGUCCUGGUAGUAUUAGCAUAUCUAUGUUGUAGAUCAAUAGCUCGCGUUUAGCUCCCCUAUUUUAUUUUUGAUAUGUUCCUAGAGAAAACUAAGUUGAAAGAUGUUAGUAGCAAUGAUGCAGAUUGGAUCCGUGAUAUGAGGUUUAUCCUCAUUGCUGCACAGAAGAGUUAUGUCCUUGAUGCACCGCUAGGUGACAAACCUAUUGCAGGAGCAGAUGCAGAUGUUAUGAACAUUUGGCUAGCUCAAUAUGAUGACUACUUGAUAGUUUAGUGCACCAUGCUUAAACGGCUUAGAAUCGGGUCUUCAAAGACGUUUUGAACGUCAUGGACCAUAUGAGAUGUUCCACGAGUUGAAGUUAAUAUUUCAAGCAAAUACCCGAGUUGAGAGAUAUGAAGUCUCCAACAAGUUCUAUAGCUAAAAGAUGGAGGAGAAUAGCUCAAGCAGUGAGCAUGUGCUCAGAUUGUCUGGGUACUACAGUCGCUUGAAUCAAGUGGGAGUUAAUCUUCCAGAUAAAAUAGUGAUUGACAUAAUUCUCUAGUCACCACCACCAAGUUAGUAGAACUUUGUGAUGAACUAUAAUAUGCAAGGGAUAACGGAAACGAUUCCCAAGCUCUUCGUGAUGCUGAAAUCGACGAAGGUAGAAAUCAAGAAAAGCAUCAAGUGUUGAUGGUAAACAAAACCACUAGUUUCAAGUAAAGAGACAAAGGGAAGAAAGGGGAACUUCAAGAAGAACGGCAAGCAACUUGUUGCUCAAGUGAAAAAACCCAAGUCUGGACCUAAGCCUGAAACUGAGUGCUUCUACUGCAAAGGGAAUGGUCAUUCGAAGCGGAACUACCCCAAGUAAUUGGUGGAUAAGAAGGAUGGCAAAUUGAACAUAGGUAUAUUUGAUAUACAUGUUAUUGAUGUGUACUUUACUAGUUUUUAUAGCAACCCCUCAGUAUUUGAUACUAGUUCAGUUGCUAAGAAUAGUAACUCGAAACAGGAGUUGCAGAAUGAACAGAGACUAGUUAAGGGUGAAGUGACGAUGUGUAUUGGAAAUGGUUCCAAGAUUGAUAUGAUCAUCAUCACACACUCCCUAUACUUUCGGGGUUAGUGUUAAACCUAAAAUAAAUGUUAUUUAGUGUUUGCGUUGAGCAUGAAUAUGAUUGGAUCAUGUUUAUUGCAAUACGAUUAUUCAUGUAAGUUAGAGAAUAAUUGUUGUCCUGUUUACAUGAAUAAAACCUUCUAUGGUCAUACAGCCAAUGAAAAUGUUUUGUUGGAUCUUGAUCGUGGUGAUACACAUUUUCAUAAUAUUGAAGCCAAAAGAUGCAAAGUUAAUAAUGAUAGUGCAACUUAUUUGUGGCACUGCCGUUUAGGUUAUAUUGGUGUAAAGCGUAUGAAGAAAAUCCAUGCUGAUGGGCUUUUGGAAUCACUUGAUUAUGAAUCAGUUGAUGCUUGCGAACCAUGCCUCAUGGGCAAGAUGACUAAGACUCCGUUCUCCGGAACAAUGGAGCGAGCAACAAAUUUGUUGGAAAUCAUACAUACUGAUGUAUGUGGUCCAAUGAAUAUUGAGGCUCGCGACAGGUAUCAUUAUUUUCUGAUCUUCACAGAUGAUUUGAGCAGAUAUGAGUAUAUCUACUUGAUGAAACACAAGUCUGAAACAUUUAAAAAGUUCAAAGAAUUUCAGAGUGAAGUGGAGAAUCAUCGUAACAAAAAUAAAAGUUUCUACGAUAUGAUCACAGAAGUAAAAUAUUUGAGUUACGAGUUUGGCCUUCAGUUAAAACAAUGUGAACUAAUUUCACUACUCACGCCACCUGGAACACCACAGGGUAAUGGUGUGUCCGAACGUCGUAGUUGUACUUUAUUAGAUAUGGUGCGAUCUAUGAUGUCUCUUACCAAUUUACCACUAUCGUUUUGGGGUUAUGCAUUAGAGACAGCUACAUUCACAUUAAAUAGGGCACCAUCUAAAUCCGUUGAGACGACACCGUAUGAACUAUGGUUUGGCAAGAAACCUAAGCUGUCGUUUCUUAAAGUUUGAGGUUGCAAUGUUUAUGUGAAAAAGUUUCAACCUGAUAAGCUCAAACCCAAAUCGGAGAAGUGCGUCUUCAUAAGAUACCCAAAAGAAAAUGUUGGGUACACCUUCUAUCACAGAUCCGAAGGCAAGAUAUUCAUUGCUGAGAAUGGAUCCUUUCUAGAGAAGGAGUUUCUCUCGAAAGAAGUGAGUGGGAGGAAAGUAGAACUUGAUGAGGUAACUGUACCUGCUCCCUUAUUGGAAAGUAGUUCAUCACGAAAUCUGUUCCUAUGACUACUACACCAAUUAGUGAGGAAGCUAAUGAUGAUGAUCAUGUAGCUUCAGAUCAAGUUACUAUCGAACCUCGUAGGUAAACCAGAGUGAGAUCCGCACCAGAGUGGUACGGUAAUCCUGUUCUGGAGGUCAUGUUACUUGACCAUGACGAACCUACGAACUAUGAGGAAGCGAUGAUGAGCCCAGAUUCCGCGAAAUGGCUUGAGGCCAUGAAAUUUGAGAUGAGAUCCAUGUAUAAGAACAAAGUAUGGACUUUGAUUGACUUGCCCAAAGAUCAGCGAGCCAUUGAGAUUAAAUGGAUCUUCAAGAGGAAGACGGACGCUGAUAGUAGUGUUACUAUCUACAAAGCUAGAAUUGUCGCAAAAGGUUUUCGACAAGUUCAAGGUGUUGACUACGAUGAGAGUUUCUCACUCGUAUCUAUGCUUAAGUCUGUCCGAAUCAUGUUAGCAAUUGCCACAUUUUAUGAAAUCUGGCAAAUGGAUAAACAAAACUACAUUCCUUAAUGGAUUUAUUAAAGAAGAGUUGUAUAUGAUGCAACAAGAAAGUUUUGUCAAUCCUAAAGGUGCUAACAAAAUAUGCAAGCUCCAGCGAUCCAUCUAUGGACUGGUGCACGCAUCUCGGAGUUGGAAUAUACGCUUUGAUAAGUUGACCAAAGCAUAUAGUUUUAUACAGACUUGCGGUGAAGCCUGUAUUUACAAGAAAGUGAGUGGGAGCACUACAACAUUUUUGAUAAGUAUAUGUGAAUGACAUAUUUUUGAUCGGAGAUAAUGUAGAAUUAUUCUGCAAAGCAUAAAGGAGUGUUUGAAAGGAGUUUUUCAAAGAAAGACCUCGGUGAAGUUGCUUACAUAUUGAGCAUCAAGAUCUAUAGAGAUAGAUCAAGACGCUUGAUAAGUUUUUCAAUGAGUACAUACCUUGACAAGAUUUUGAAGUAGUUCAAAAUGGAACAGUCAAAGAAAGAGUUCUUGCCUGUGUUACAAGGUGUGAAACUGAGUAAGACUCAAAGCCCGACCAUGGCAGAAGAUAGAAAGAGAAUGAAAGUCAUUCCCUAUGCCUUGGCCAUAGGUCCUAUAAAAUAUGCCAUGCCGUGUACCAAAUCUAUUGUAUACCCUACACUGAUUUUGGCAAGGGAUACAAUAGUGAUCUAGGAGUAGAUCACUGGACAACGGUUAAAAUUAUCCUUAGUGGAAUAAGGAUAUGUUUCUCGAUUAUGGAGGUGACAAAAAGGUUCGUCGUAAAGGGUUACAUCGAUCUAAAUUUUGACACUAAUCCAGAUGACUCUAAAUCUCAAUCUGGAUACAUAUUGAAAGUGGGAGCAAUUAGCUAGAGUAGCUCAGUGCAGAGCAUUGUUGACAUAGAAAUUUGCAAAAUACUUACGGAUCUGAAUGUGGCAGACCCGUUGACUAAACUUCUCUCACAAGCAAAAAAUGAUCACACCUUAGUACUCUUUGGGUGUUAAUCACAUAGCGAUGUGAACUAGAUUAUUGACUCUAGUAAACCCUUUGGGUGUUGGUCACAUGUCGAUGUGAACUAUGGGUGUUAAUCACAUGGUGAUGUGAACUAUUGGUAUUAAAUCACAUGGCGAUGUGAACUAGAUUAUUGACUCUAGUGCAAGUGGGAGACUGAAGGAAAUAUGCCCUAGAGGCAAUAAUAAAGUUAUUAUUUAUUUCCUUAUAUCAUGAUAAAUGUUUAUUAUUCAUGCUAGAAUUGUAUUAACUGGAAACAUAAUACAUAUGUGAAUACAUAGACAAACAGAGUGUCACUAGUAUGCAUCUACUUGACUAGCUUGUUGAUCAAAGACGGCUAUGUUUCCUAACCAUAGACAUGAGUUGUCAUUUGAUUAACGGGAUCACAUCAUUAGGAGAAUGAUGUGAUUGACUUGACCCAUUCCGUUAGCUUAGCACUUGAUUGUUUAGUUUGUUGCUAUUGCUUUCUUCAUGACUUAUACAUGUUCCUAUGACUAUGAGAUUAUGCAACUCCCGUUUACCUGAGGAACACUUCGUGUGCCACCAAACGUCACAACGUAACUGGAUGAUUAUAAAGGUGCUCUAUAGGUGUCUCCGAAGGUACUUGUUGGGUUGGCGUAUUUCGAGAUUAGGAUUUGUCACUCCGAUUGUCGGAGAGGUAUCUCUGGGCCCACUCGCUAAUGCACAUCACUAUAAGCCUUGCAAGCAUUGCAACUAAUGAGUUAGUUGUGGGAUGAUGUAUUACGGAAUGAGUAAAGAGACUUGCCGGUAACGAGAUUGAACUAGGUAUUGAGAUACUGACGACUGAAUCUCGGGCGAGUAACAUACCGAUGGCAAAGGGAACAACGUAUGUUGUUAUGGAUAUUCAUAGAAUAUGUAGGAGCCAAUAUGAGCAUCCAGGUUACGCUAUUGGUUAUUGACCAGAGACAUGUCCCGGUCAUGUCUACAUAGUUCUCGAACCCGUAGGGUCCGCAUGCUUAAAGUUCGAUGAUGGUUAUAUUAUGAGUUUAUGUGUUUUGAUGUACUGAAGGUAGUUCGGAGUCCCUGACGAGAUCGGGGACAUGACGAGGAGUCUCGAAAUGGUCGAGACGUAAAGAUCGAUAUAUUGGACGACUAUAUUCGGACACCGAAAAGGUUUUGAGUGAUUCGGGUAUUUAUCGGAGUACCGGGGAGUUACGGGAAUUCGCCGGGGAGUGUAUGGGCCUUAUUGGGCUUUAGGGGAAAGAGAGAGAGGUAGGUCGCGCCCCCCAAGGCCUAGUCCGAAUUGGACUAGGGGGAAGGGCUGCGCCCCCUCCUUCCUUCUCUUCUCUUUUCCCUUUCCUUCUCUCCUACUCCUACUACUUGGAAGGGCUCCUAGUUCUACUAGGAAAGGGGGAAUCCUACUCCCGGUGGGAGUAGGACUCCCCUAGGGCGCGCCAUAGAGAGGGCCGGCCCCUCCCCUCCUCUACUCCUUUAUAUACGUGGCCAGGAGGCACCCCAUAGACACAACAAUUGAUCUCUUGAUCUCUUAGCCGUGUGUGGUGCCCCACUCCACCAUAAUCCACCUCGAUCAUAUUGUAGCGGUGCUUAGGUGAAGCCCGACGUCGGUAGAACAUCAUCAUCGUCACCAUGCCGUUGUGCUGACGAAACUCUCCCUCAACACUCGGCUGGAUCGGAGUUUGAGGGACGGCAUCGAGUUGAACGUGUGCAGAACUUGGAGGUGCCGUGCGUUCGGUACUUGAUCGGUCGGAUCGUGAAGACGUACAACUACAUCAACCGCGUUGUGCUAACGCUUCUGUUUUUGGUCUACGAGGGUACAUGGACACACUCUCCCCUCUUGUUGCUAUGCAUCACCAUGGUCUUGCGUGUGGGUAAUUUUUUUUGAAAUUACUACGUCCCCAACAUCUUCACCCAACCAGAACUGAACCUACGGCAACGCUGCUGGCUAGAAUUAAUUAAGGACUAUGAUGUGGGGAUUCAUUACCACCCGGGUAAAGAAAAUGUUGUGGCAGAUGCCCUCAGUCGAAACCCAUGCAUCAACAUUGACAGCGUGCGAUUUCCACAACAUAAAUUCAACCAAGAGUUUGCCAAACUCAACAUGGUUCUAGUCACGGAAGGGACUGUUGUUCAACUAGAAGUAAAGCCCACGUUGGAAUCUCAGAUCAAAGAAGCUCAGAAAGGACACCCCAGCAUUGAAGGAAUUAAAAGGAAGGUAGACUUAGGCAAGGCAUCUGAGUUUACCAUUGAUGAGCAAGGAAUCCUAUGGUACAGAAGAAGGCUAUGCGUGCCCGACAAAGAAGAACUAAAGCAAAAAAAAUUGGCAGAAGCCCAUACAACACCAUACUCCAUUCACCCAGGAGGAACCAAAAUGUACAAGGAUUUACAAGAGAACUUUUGGUGGGACGGGAUGAAAAGGGAUAUAGAUGUGUAUGUUACACAGUGUGACUCGCGUCAGCGUAUAAAGGUAGAACAUCAGAGGCUAGCCGGAUUAUUGCAGCCACUCAGAGUACCUGAAUGGAAGUGGGACGAAAUAUGAAUGGAUUUUAUUGUCGGAUUACCGAGAUCACGACACGGGAAUGAUGCUAUCUGGGUUAUCACGGAUUUAUUAACCAAGGUGGCACAUUUCAUUCCGGUAAAAACAACAUACUCAACUCAGAGGCUUGCUAAGUUAUACCUCUCUCGAAUUGUUUGCCUACACGGAGUAUCCAAGACCAUAGUCUCCAACAGAGGCACUCAGUUCAUCUAAAGGUUUUGGGAUCACCUGCAGAAGGCCCUAGGAACACAACUGGUUUUCAGUAAAGCAUAUCACCCACAAACAGGGGGACAGACUGAACGGGUAAACCAAAUAUUGGAAGACAUGCUGAGAGCUUGUGUUCUUACUUAUGGAUCCAGUUGGGAGGAUAGUUUGCCAUACGCGGAAUUCUCAUACAACAACAGCUAUCGGGCAAGUCUAAAGAUGUCACCCUUUGAAGCACUGUAUGGCCGAAGAUGUCGUACCCCACUCAAUUGGUUUGAAACCGGAGAUAGCCGAAUCUUUGGCCCGAAAGUUACCAAGGAAGCAGAAACGAAAGUGAACUUAUUCGGGACAGACUGAAAACAGCUCAGAGCCGUCAGAAAAGCUAUUAAGACCAGAAACAUCGUCAGGUCAUGUACCUCAGGGUAUCCCAAAUGAGAGGACUAUAUAGAUUUAAGGUCAAAGGAAAGGUAGCACCACGGUUUGUUGGACCAUUUAGAAUAAUUGCAAGGAGAGGCAAGGUUGCCUACCAACUAGAGCUACCAUCUGAAUUGUCAGAUGUUCAUGACGUGUUCCAUGUAUCACCACUAAGGAGAUGUGUUAGAAACCCAGACAAACAAGUCCAACACCAGGACCUGGAUCUUCAACCAGACCUUACAUAUAAGGAGCGCCCGAUAAAAAUCUUGGAGGAGUCUGAACGGAGGAACCGACAGAGCGUGAUAAAAUUUUAUAAGGUUCAGUGGAGUAAUCAUACCGAGGAAGAAGCAACUUGGGAAAGAGAGGAUCACCUCAGGACUGAAUAUCCGUACUAGUUUGAGGGACAGUUGAAAUCUCGAGGACGAGAUUUUUCUUAAGAGGGGUAGGUGUUGUAACACCCAAAAUUAUCCCUUGGGUUUUAAAUUUUAUUUUCAAAAUGGUUCAUUUAUUUGGAUGAGUCUUUGGUUUGGUUAUUUUGUCUAAUAUCAAAAACAUUUCUUAGGUUAGAAGAAUUUUUGUGGCAUUUAAAAAUAUUCCAAGGAUUUGGUCACUUCACUCUUUUCAAACACUUCUAACUCAUCCCAAAAGUCUAUUCUGUCACUCUAAAUUCCUAUCCUAGUCUUCCUCGCUUUCUAGGACAGUGUCCAACACCUCACUUCUCCACAAAAAUAUUUUUCUUCAUAUUUAAUGAAUUCCCAAGGUGGAAUUGAUAUUUAUCAUGGUUUCUUUUGUUUACAAAGGAGCCACAUUCUAGGUAACUCCUCUGCAUCCACAAAAAUUACACCAGAAACUAGACAGUACCCACAACCCAUUUCACCAAAAAAUGGGGUUCCACAGUUCAAAAUCUUCAAAUUCCAUGCAAUUCAAAUUUGGACCAGAUUCACAUUUCAUGGUCAAAACCUAAUUUUCCUUGCUCCAAAAAUUCUGAAAUUUGUCCAGACACUCUCUUAUGCACAGAAACAUCACCACAAAUAUUCUCAACAUUUUCUAAAAUGCCUAGAGCUCUCUGGAAUUUUAUCAAACACCUUCCGUGCAUUGUUCACCACUGUCAAAAAGUUUCAGUAAAAUUUAGAGGUAACAGAAGUUCAGAGAGAGAGGGAGAUCAAUGCCAUGCACUUCUCCUCUUCCACUUCCCUGCGCGAUGUCGUCUACCCGAGGCAUAAAUGAGAUGCCCGGACCCCUCUGGUCAGUGGCUCGCCGCCGACCAGCACAGUGGCUGGCCGGUGCACCUGCCACCGCCCUCGGCAGCGGCGGCCGAGCGGACCAGCUCGCUGACCAGCGCCUUCACUCACAUACUGCUCCCCUGCCUACCACCUCUCCACGCGACACCUCUUCUGCGGUGUUGACCCACCGCCCAAACCGCCCCGCGCCUGGCUGGCAGCCGCCGGAGCCGAUCGCUGCCGCCACACCCGCGUGGACACCUCGCCGUGGAUAAGGCCGUAGGACUCAGCUCCGCCCAUGUUAUUGCUUCUGGAGUAUUCUCUCGACCUCAUCCACUCCUCACCGCCCCUGACCGCCGUCAAAACCUACCUCGUUGGCCGGAAUAACUCCGGCGUGAUCCACUCUGCCGCUGACCUGCUCGGACCGCCUAUAAAAGGCCACCCCGAGCCUUGUUCAUCACCCACACCACUCCACCACCAUCCCAAUCUACCUCCCGCACAUCACCUCGACCUUGAGAAGGUUUUCUCCCUCGGCUCUGACUACUGAUCCGUCGCCACCCUCCCCGAUCAGCACGACGACCACCACCACCCACCGACACGGGCGCCACCACGAACACGUCCCGACCAUCACCGCCUCCUGAAAUGCCGGCGAUCGCCGCCACUGACCACCGCCUCCCCUCUGUACACGCGCGCGUAAAGCGCGUUUGAAUUUCAAACCUGACGGGUGGGGCCCAGCCGUCAGUAUUAUGUUCUUUUCUGUUAUUUUUGGAAGCGUCUUUUUCUGGUUUACGCUUUCUUCUCUGGGAAACGUAUUUCUGGCUGAGGCGUUUUCACUUAUUACCGCAGGGACCCGCUGGCAAUUAUUUUGUUACAAAGAGGUCCUUGGUUUUGAAUCCUUAAUAACUUUUAGACCAUAGAUCAAUUUCAAUUGUUUAUUUUUCUAAAAUUCUUGUUUUUCACUCUAGUUUAUUUUAGUAUUUAUUUAAAAAUAAUUUGGGACAAGUUUUUGUGCGGUUAUAAAAAAGUUGAAUUUGGACUUCUAUUUUCAGAAAACGAAGAGGGGGACUAUACCAGGAGUUUUGAAGAACCUCUUGCUGAUUACUUUGGUCAAGGCAAGCAUAUUGGACAUGGGUUAUAAUGUAUUACCUUCAUGGUUGCAUCGGAGUAGUUUUGCACCGUAUAGUAGUAAUAGUAGAAGCAUGCAUCGGUCAUGUCAAUUUGAGCACUAUUGCAUGAACCCUGUUGCAUGUCAUGUGAGCACUAUUGCAUUCAUCAUAUUUCUUUUUGCUAACGUAUGAAUGUGGUAAGAAUCCAAGAGUGUAUUUCCUGCCUUGGACGUGCCGAUGGGCACGGACUGUGUUACGGCACGAUGGUGUCACUGUGGCAUGUGGGACAUGCCAGUCUUAAUAACAACACCUCCUGAGUCGACCUAGAAUCGAGUCUUGUUCCAUUAAGCCUAACUACACAUCGUGCUGCCACUUGUCUUCCCGCAAGGGGAGUAUGAUUUAGUAAGUUGUUAACCCCUUUCCGUGUACACACCACUUAGAGAGGCCACGAUGAGGGUUCCACGACCAUGGACUAAUGCCAGUCAUCGGGUCAAGGGGCAUGGGUGUAUCCGCUGGGCCGAGAGGGGGGCACCCCUUGUAAUCCAUGUGUAUUAAUAGUGAUCCCAUGCUAUUCAAGACGAUGGUCUCCCCGACUUAGAGUUUUUCUUGAAAGAUGCUUUGGGUGAUUCCGGGUAUCCGGAAAGUUAUUCUGGUGUGUGCUGGUUAGGUGUGUUUCCAACCCAAAAACCGUAAUGGAAAUUAGUCAAGGUCUAAGCAUUGGCUACAGAAAUUCCAUACAUAUGGGUAAAGAGUACACCCUCUGCAGAGUUACAUCUAUUUGAAUAGCCAUGUCCACGGUCAAGGGCAUAGUUGGGAAGGGUCAAGUAUCGGUCCUGGUGUCGAUCUUUGGAGGAAAAUAAUUAAAUUGAGCUUGAUCCAUCUUGCAGGAUAAUUGUGGUCGCCACCGAGGCUGUGGCGGAUAACAUUGUUAUGCAUAUUAUUGAUGUGAUGGACUAACCCAAUUCUCUUAUUCAAUUGUACUGAGUGUCACUUGGGAUGGCUAGACUACCCGUGCACUCAACUUUAUUUUGUUUUCUGAGUAUCACUUGGGAUGGCUAGACUACCCGGAUACUCAGUUUUAUUCUCAAGACCUUAUGUGGCGUCGCUUGAGUUCUCGGGCAGUCCUGUCUCGCCCGAUUCUCUUUUAGACACCCGUUUGUCAUUUCUUUUCAAGACCUUACGAGGCGUCGCUUUCAGACACCCAUUUGGCGGUUUUCUUGGAAUUUCUCGGGUGGUCUAACGCCCGAUGUUCCACUUUGAAUUUCUUGGCUAUCACUACUGUUAUUUGAUUAUUUAUCCACAUCAGAUCCACAUUAUCAUGUCAUGAUUUAAUUCCAGUCAACAUGUGCAUUUAGCAUAGCCUAUCAUGAGCAUUUUCAUUCGUUAUACCUUUUGUUCAUAAUGUUUGCGAGUACAUUCCAACAUACUCAUAGGCUUGUCCCUGGCUAUUGUCUUGGCCAAACCUGGAGGAGGACGAGCUUGCAUAGGAGGAUUGCGCUAGCGAGCCCAAGACAUAGAGGUGUUCCCAGUCAGUCACCUGUGGAUUUGGAGUCUACCAUGUGUAUCAUCCACUAGUGCUUCACCCCGACGCUUGGCUUACUUUAUUGUAUCGGUGUUAUAUCACCGUCACCCACUGUCAUAUUCCACCGCCACCUGUUUUACAAGUUUGUACCAGAUUGUAGAGCACUCUGGCUCAACUCGAUGUAAUAUUAUGUGUGUACUGGUUAUCUAUGUCAAGGAAGUCCACCAGCAGUCCUGAUCUUGGGGCUGGUGGGACUUUGGGCUAUUCUGUGAUUUAUUACGGAAGUGAGCCUGACAAACCUUGGUAUUAGAGCCAGGCUGACUAUAGGAAGCCCUAGGUGCGUUAGCUAGUAGUAGGAUCAGUCCUAACAUUUUCUUAGCAUGCGUUUUGUGCAUUGUAAUAGAUUUUCCUUAGUCAUCAUAUACCUAUGAUAUGACUAUUUGGAUUUUUUUUAUACUGUUGUAGAUGUCUGGCGGCAGCUGUCCGACCCAGAUAUUCGCCAACGAGCCUGCGGGAUUCUCCCGUCUUCUUUCAUCAUCGCUAGAGUUGUAGUGCGAUCACCAAACCGUCCAGAGUACACCAUCUUCCCGGACAGGAUCACGGGCACCCUGACCAUGUACCAGGCCUCGGUAUAUAUUCAGGGUGAAUCCGCCGAGCCCCACCGCAACUACCGCUUUGUUGGGAGAGUCAUGCCUAGUGAGAGGCAUGCUGUCCAGAUGGCCGCUCGUGAAGCCAUUGCUCAUCUUAGGGACAUGCUUCCAGUCAUGUAGACCCGUCCCUACUAUUACCUGCCAUGCCAUGUUCUGUACACAAGUCACUAUGCUUUCUUGUGCACCGCGGAAGAAAGGGACGAGGCAAUCAAACCCCUGGCUCAAUACAUCAUGGCCCUAGAAUCAGUCUUCACCUCACUGGUGGAUGACUAUCUUAUUGUACAAAUGGACUUAGCUCGUGCGAGAGUACCUCGCAGGAGGGAGAUCCGUUCUCCGUCACCACGUGCUCCACGCAUUCCGACUCCACCAUAUAUCCCUUCUACUUAUUCUGCAUUUUGACGCCCAUCGCUGAGCAACGAAGCUAGUCGCUUGGUUGCACCCAUUCCCGUUAGAGCGUCACCACCAACAACCACAGUGCCACUGCGAGCGGGCGUGGCAUCAACGACUGCGUGACUGGAGACCAUACACGAGGAGGAUGAGGAGGUCAAGUCUUCAGCACCUCAUCUGGUACUCACACUCAGCAGGGCCUAUGACAUCUCAGAUACUCCAUGAUGGCAGCCAAGGCAGCUACGCCGUAGCCACCCUUAAGGAGAUGUAGUGUAAAAUAGUUAUCUUCUGUCUUUUUCCUCCCUUGUAAGAUAGCAAAUAGUAGACUCAGACUGCGGCACGCUAGAAGUUAGAGCAGUGCGCUAGUUUUAAUAAGCGGAUAUGUAGUAUACGGCGGCGGCAUGCAUAUUGUAUAAUUAGAACUUGCAUGUAUAAUAUGUCUUGGUGUACUUGCGUCUUGGGGAAGUUUAUUUUUCAGUUUCUUAAAGAUUUGUUUUUCUCCUUGGAAAUUCUUUUCUCAUCAUGUUACACAAAUACCCCAAAAAGAAAAUGCAUCGUCCCUAGACUCGUUCUAUGCCCAUUCCGCCAAAGGACAACUUUGCGCAGAUGGGAAACAAUUUCACACCUGGACAGACAAGUCAACAAAGCAAUGAUGCUGCGUUUUCACAAGUGUUCCGUCUAUACGAGCGAAGUCAGCAAUAGCACCAGGAAGUGAUGCAACACUAGAUAAAUAUGGGGAAUCACCAAGGACAACACCAACCCAGGUCAAAAAUAUCUGAACUCCAGAAGACCAACCCAACGGUAUUUUCUCACGCAGAUAAACCUCUGGAGGCAGGCGACUGGCUAAGUGACAUUGAAAGGAAAUUGGUCAUAGCCCAAUGUACGGACCAGGAAAAAGUAUAUAUGCUCCGCAUUACUUUUUUGGUACAACAGCAUCAUGGUGGGAAAAUCUAUGCCACACGCAUCCCAAUGGAGGGGACAUGACCUGGGAGCAAUUCAAGGAAAACUUUCGGGGAGCCCAUAUCACCAAUAGUAUCAUGAAGUUAAAGAAACGAGAGUUUGAGGAUCACAAGCAACGGGGCAUAAGGGUAACCCAGUACCUGGACCAAUUUACUCAGCUAGCUCGGUACGCCAAUGAUGAGUACAUGACACAGAACAAAAAGAUGGAAAAAUUUCUGGACAGACUUGUUCCAUCUCUGAAGUGCCAACUGGUGGUUCACACCUUUCCAGAUUUCAAGACACUGGUAGACAAGGCUAUUAUUCUGGAAAAUGAGCACCACAACCUAAAUGAGAUUCGCAAGCGCCAUAUGAACUAGUCAGCACCGGUCCGCAACAACAGGCCCCGAAAUGAAUUUCAGAAGACUGUGAUACCUCGACCAGCAGUACCGACACCACGACCGCAACAGAAUCGCAGCACUUUCAACAAUCGGGCCAAGGAAACCGUGUACCGUCCUGGCAUUACUUGCUACGCCUAUGGUGCGGAAGGGCAUACGCUAGGUAGUGCCCAAAACAGGGAAAUAAUGCUCCAAGACCCAAUAACAACGGCUGCAGGACAAACGCAGCCCCACGACACAACAACGGAAAUAACAAUCAAACAAAGGGACAUGUUAAUUAUGUGACGUUUGAGGAAUUCCAGAAUGCACCAGACAUCGUGUUUGGUAUGUUCCCUGCCAACACAAUUAAUGCUACAGUUUUAUUUGAUUCCAGAGCUUCCCGUUCGUGCAUCUCUAAAAGAUUUUCCUAGAAGAAUCAAUUUUCUUUUUCGCCAUUGGAAAAUUCAAUGGUUAUUCAGUCCCCGGGAUCAAAGCAAAGUACGCAAUGGUACUGGAAGGAUGUGAGCAUUAACAUCAAAGGAACGAAGUUUUUAGCCAACCUUAUUGUGUUGGAAGCAGUCGAUGUGGAUGUCAUUCUGGGAAUGGACUGGUUGACUGCAAAUAAAGGUUUUAUAGACUGCUAUAGCCGUAUAGUAACUCUCACAGACUGUCAAGGGAAAGCAGUAAAGGUUGGUACAAGGAGAAUGUCCACCUCGCAGGGAAAAUUAACUCAAGUGGACAUGACAGACUUACGCAAAGUUCCUGUGGUAUGUGAAUAUCCAGACAUUUUCCCUAAGGAUCUACCAGGCAUGCCACCGGAUCAUGAGAUUGAGUUCAUUAUUGAACUAGCACCCGGAAUGGCACCCAUCUAUAAGAAGCUGUACCGCAUGGCACCAACAGAGCUGGUUGAGCUAAAGAAGCAAAUCAAGGAGUUAUUGGAGAAAGGUUAUGUCCGACCCAGCUCGUCACCAUGGGGAUCACCGGUGUUAUUCGCCAAGAAAAAGGAUGGUACCUUAAGGUUGUGUAUUGAUUAUAGGGCACUCAACCAGGUCACCAUCAAAAAUAAAUAUCCACCAUCGCAGAUCAAUGAUUUGUUCGACCAACUGGCUGAAGCCAAGGUGUUCUAAAAAAUAGACUUGAGAUCAGGCUACCACCAAUUAAGGAUCCGACCGUCAGAUGUACCAAAGACUGCCUUUACCACCAAAUAUGGAUUGUACGAGUUCACUAUGAUGCCUUUUGGAUUAACCAACACUCCUGCUUAUUUUGUGCAUCUCAUGAACAAGGUCUUUAUGAAAUACUUGGAUAAGUUUGUGGUUGUGUUCAUUGAUGAUAUACUUAUUUAUUCCAAGACACCGGAAGAAUGUGAGCAACAUCUUCGGAUAGUCCUUGAGGAAUUACGGAAAAAUCAACUCUAUGCCAAAUUCAGUAAGUGUGAAUUUUGGUUACGAGAAGUUGGCUUUCUAGGACAUGUUCUGACACGGGAUUGAAUAGCAGUGGACCCAAGCAAGGUAAAAGAUGUCUUGGGAAUGAAGCAACCCACCAGCGUAACAGAAGUCAGAAGUUUUCUUGGUUUGGCUGGCUACUACCGAUGAUUUAUUGAAGGGUUCUCCACCAUAGCCAAACCCAUGACUCAGUUGCUCAAGAAAGAUAAAAAGUUCGAAUGGACCGAGACAUGCGAGAAAAGUUUCGAGGAAUUAAAGAAGAGAUUAACAACCGCACCCGCUCUGACCAUGCCAGAUGUACACAAUUUUUUUGAUAUAUAUACUGUGACGCAUCAGGAGAGGGCAUUAGGUGUGUCUUAAUGCAAGAGAGAAAUGUCGUAGCGUAUUCUUCAAGGCAACUACGACGACACGAAGAGAAUUAUCCUACCCAUGACAUGGAAUUGGCAGCCAUGAUACAUGCACUUAAGGAAUGGCGGCAUUACCUUCUUGGUAACCAAUGUGAGGUAUAUACGGAUCACAAAAGCCUUAAGUAUAUCUUCCCAUAGCCAGAACUGAACCUACGGCAACACCGCUGGCUAGAAUUAAUUAAGGACUAUGAUGUGGGGAUUCAUUACCACCCGGGUAAAGAAAAUGUUGUGGCAGACACCCUCAGUCGAAACCCAUGCAUCGACAAUGACAGUGUGCGAUUUCCACAUCAUGAAUUCAACCAGGAGUUUGCCAAACUCAACAUGGUUCUAGUCACGGAAGGGACUGUUGCUCAGCUAGAAGUAAAGCCCAUGUUGGAAUCUCAGAUCAAAGAAGCUCAGAAAGGACACCCCAGCAUUGAAGGAAUUAAAAGGAAGGUAGACUUAGGCAAGGCAUCUGAGUUUACCAUUGAUGAGCAAGGAAUCCUAUGGUACAAAAGAAGGCUAUGUGUGCCCGACAAAGAAGAACUAAAGCAACAAAUUUUGGCAGAAGCCCAUUAUCGGUGUCAAAACCGGCGGAUCUCGGGUAGGGGGUCCCGAAGUGUGCGUCUAGGCGGAUGGUAACAGGAGACAAGGGACACGAUGUUUUUACCCAGGUUCGGGCCCUCUCGAUGGAGGUAAAACCCUACUCCUGCUUGAUUAAUAUUGAUGAUAUGGGUAGUACAAGAGUAGAUCUACCACGAGAUCAAGGAGGCUAAACCCUAGAAGCUAGCCUAUGGUAUAAUUGUUGUUCGUCCUACGGACUAAAACCCUCCGGUUUAUAUAGACACCAGAGAGGGCUAGGGUUACACAGAUUCGGUUACAAUGGUAGGAGAUCUACAUAUCCGUAUCGCCAAGCUUGCCUUCCACGCCAAGGAAAGUCCCUUCCGGACACGGGACGAAGUCUUCAACCUUGUAUCUUCAUAGUCCAGGAGUCCGGCCGAAGGUAUAGUCCGGCUAUCCGGACACCCCCUAAUCCAGGACUCCCUCAGUAGCCCCUGAACCAGGCUUCAAUGACGACGAGUCCGGCGCGCAGAUUGUCUUCGGCAUUGCAAGGCGGGUUCCUCCUCCAAGUACUUCAUAGAAGAUUUUGAACACAAAGGUAGUGUCCAGCUCUGCAAAAUAAGUUUCCACAAAUUGCCUAGAGAGAAUAAUAUUUACACAAAUCUAAUCUGCUGACGUAUUCUGUAGCGUGACAUCACACCACGGCCAAGUCCUUAUUCAAAUCGCUUUACUAUCCCACCUUAGCGCGUUUAGCGAGGCGGUUUCCUUGGCACGUCUUGUCAAAGCAGAGAUCGUGUCCCCUUAUUCCGGGAUUCUCAUCAAUACGGGCGUGGGUAACCCAACCCUUGCCAUUGAUUAUGGCGCUUGGGAGAUAAGCGAGUUUUACCAGGCUGGUGGGGACGCAUAGUCGCGUCCACCCAUAUAAGGGGAUAAGGAUCCACCUUUUCAUCCACGCCUUCUUCCUCCUUUGCCUAUCCAUUUCCGCGCACUCGAGCUCCAGCGCCCAAGUCCGCACACCCCACCUCAACCUUCUCCAGCCAUGUCCGGAGCGGGAGGCAAGUGGAUGGUCUUCUCCGUCAUGGAGGGACACAUAAAAAAACUAAGGAAGGCUGGAUACUUGUCUAACGACAUUGCGCACCGGCUUCCCGAAGAGGGGCAGCUCAUCCCCACCCCUAGGCCCCACGAGAGGGUGGUGUUCCUCCCCCGUUUCCUCCGCGGACUGGGCUUCCCUCUCCACCCAUUUGUCCGGGGGCUCAUGUUCUACUAUGGCCUGGAUUUCCAUGAUCUGGCCCCGAACUUUGUCCUCAACAUCUUGGCGUUUAUCGUCAUCUGCGAGGCUUUCUUCUGCAUCCGCCCCCAUUUCGGCCUAUGGCUCAAGACUUUCAAUGUCAAGCCGAAGGUGGUGCGCGGCACCCAGGCGGAGUGCGGAGGCGCCAUGGUGGGCAAGAUGCCCAACAUCCUAUGGCUCGAGGGCUCCUUCGUGGAGACCCUAAAGGGGUGGCAAUCGGGGUGGUUUUACAUCACUGAGCCGCACGACCUUGAAUGGGUCACAACCCCCGAGUUCCGAUCCGGACCCCCUACGCGGCUCACCUCCUGGAAAGAGACGGGCCUAUCAUGGGGUAAAAAAGGAGAGCUGACCGGGGUCCAAACAUGCGUCCAAACCCUAGUGGACAAGAAACUCAAACUUGUCAACGUAGUCCAGGUUAUGCUCAUCCGCCGGAUCCUUCCGUGUCAACAACGGGCUUUCAACCUGUGGGAGUUCGACCCAGCGUAGCACCGAACUCUGAGCAGGCUCUUCGACACGACAUACGAAGAUGCCUGGAAGGUGCUUUUCAAGGGCGCCGAGGCCCCCCGCAUCCGCUACCGAGGAUCGCGGAUUCAGCACGCAGCGUCAUGCUAGGGCGGUAAGCUGUUUUUACCUUUUACAGGGUAUUAGUUUUUCAUAGUUUGACUCCAUGUGGGAUCUAAGCUCCCUUACCUUUGUCAGGAUUGGCAGGAGACGUCCGGAGAGAUCAACUGUCCGGCUCCUUUUCCCGAAGGCCCAGCGGACGCUCGCUUGGCGAAGCUGUUGGUUCCGGCACCCUAUGUGGUGCCGGAGAAGAAGGCCAAGAAGAAGGCCACGAGGACUCGAAAGAGUGCCCGAUGCCUGGAGUUGUCGGAUUCAUCAUCCGACGACUCCAAGACGCACUCCUCCCGUGAAGACAAGGAGGAGGAAGAAGAGACCUCUCCCCCUCCAGCGGGGGGAGGGAAGAAAAGGAAGGCCGCCCAACUGGGGAGGUCGAAGGGUCCAAGAAGGGGAAGACCCUUCCUCUGGACUACUCCACCAACACCGACGACGGCGAAGAGGAGUGGCCGCACAGGGCCAAGCCCCUGGCGAGAUCGCGAGUAUUCGGACACCAGAGCAAUUCAUAGUGUUCCUUUCUUGCACAGCUCCUCCUUACGCCGAAUAUGACUAUGCAGUCCGCCCAAGGCCGGGCUCAACGAGUCGUCGAGCGGCUCCCUGGAUUCGUCGGACGUGAAUUCACUUCCGCCCGCUACCUCCCCCCACCUUACGGACGACGCCGAGGUGCUGUCCCAACAGGUUCCAAGCCAGGAGGAGGUGGUCCUGGUGGCGCCGCAAGGCGACCUCCCGGACUUCAGGCGCAAAGGGGAUAAAACCCCCAAGGGCUCCAAGUCCGGCCUUGAGCCGGACACCGCGCCGGAACCUUCAACGGUUCCAGACUCCGGUAGGCAGCCUCCUUCCAAAAGGAGCAAGCCUACCGAGCCGGUGACCUCCGUCCAACCGGAGGCACCGGACAAUUUGCUGGAGGUGCUUAACGGCGCCUCCAUCGACGAGGAGCACCGCACUAUUAUGAGUGCGGUGAUCCAGAAGGUUCAGUCCACCAAGAGCGGACUGACUGAAGCCUGUGCCAGCCUUCUAACAGGCUUUGAGGUAAGUAAAGAAUAUGUAAAAAUAUUACCGCAUAGACAGUAGCCCCUGAUGCUCUGUUCGGCAUUCGGAAGAAAAGCCGAAUCGAGGAUCUAAUAACAUUCGCAGGAGUCUAACAUAAUCAAGUCAAUAUGCGUAUGCAGGCUUCGCUGCUGGCCUCCGCUGCAUUGACUGCGGAGGUGGAUAAGCUGAAGCAAAACCUCGCGCAGUCCGAGAACGAGCUCGGCCAUGCCAAGAGGCAACUCGAGGAGAGGGAAGGUAAGUAAUACCUUGCGCAAGUAUAUAGAGAAGAUGUGGUUGCAAAAAAUGACAGGAUCAACGUGCUAUUAUAGGGGCCACGACCGAGGUGGCAACCCUUAAGAAAGCGCUAUCCGAGGCCGAAAAUAGAGCGGCCGCGGAGCGCACAGAGAGAGGGAAGUAGGAGGCGCGGGUGGAGGAGGUGCAGAAAGAGCUCCAGGCUCUCGUGAAAAAACACGAGAGUUUGGAGCUUGACUCAAAGACGCAAGCGUCCGAGCUUGCAGCAACCCUCGAAAGUGCGAAGUCUGUCAAGGCCGAAGCCCAGAAAGCCCACCAAGAAAUUGAAGCGAUGAAGAAGAUAGCGGAGGGUAAGGCAUUCAUUAUGCAAAGCAAGCACGUGAAAGUGAAUUACUUGUUACUUACCCGAGUCCGGAGCUCUCCAGGAGCAUUCACAGAUUUGCCCCGCAGUGCAUCUGAUGCCGCCGCCUACUACCGAUCCGAGGAGGGGAGCUCGACAGAGAAGGUGUUCUGGUCUCAGUAUGCUGAGGCCGGACACCUGGUGCCUUUGAGCGACCAGCUGAAGCAAAUGGUCGAGCUCCACAAGGUGGCCGAACAGGCCAUAAAGGGCCUCAUAGUUCGGCUUUGGCCUGGAGAGGCUCUGCCUGGGAGCUACUUUGGGCUGGUGAGGCGGCUGGUGGAUGCCUGUCCAUGGCUUGAAGUAAUCAAGCGCUCCGUCUGCAUUGAAGGUGCCCGUAGGGCGCUUGCCCAUGCUAAAGUGCACUGGGGCAAGAUGGAUGCGGAGAAGCUGGUGAAGGACGGGCCGCCGUUGGGCAAGGAGCAUCGCAUCCCGGAAGCGUAUUAUGAGGGUGUCCUGAAGGGUGCCCGCCUUAUAGCGGAUGAAUGCUCCAAAGAUGUAAUUUUUGAGUAAACUCGCAUUUGUGAUCCUGUGCGCUGAAAACUUGUUCAUAUGCGCUAAGCAAUGCUUUUGAAUUUAAAAUAUUACCUUCUGUGCGGCCGUUUAUCAAAUUUGAGAGAUGGCGAGUCGUCGGCUUCUGCCCCCAUGCCACGAGUGCUGGGGUGUUCGGGAUAAAUAUGAGCGCUCUUUUUCCCAUUCUUGGGUCCUUCGAGGGAGGCGCUCAACACAACGAACAAGGCAAUCAGACUAUAAUGCUUGAACACUCUCACUUAGCCAUAGAAUUCUGUAACUUUAAAUUUCGGCGAUGCCCCUAGUGUUUAGAAGACCGAGUUCGGGGCGCUAUCCACGCCUAGGCCGGACAAAGACGACUCCUCGCUCUAAGCGGCAUAAGUCUUUAGGGACUCGAAAACCUCUUGAACAGCGACCAGCUCUCGCCUCAUCAUGAUGGUCAGUUUUAGCUUUCUCUACUGAGGUGCUUUGCCCAGCUCAACUGGGGCACAAUCGCAGUAGUUCUCCUAGUGCUACCUUAGCUGAUAUAACGGAACGUAAGGUACAAAAACAUAGGAGCCGGGCAAACCCAACUAUUGACCCAAGACAUGAUUCGGAGCCGAUGCAUAUAGUGCUAUAAGUUCAGGGUGCCGCACUUGUGAAAGUGUUCGGACUUCUCACACCGUAUUGUGGGGUACUUAAGCCCCUGGCGUAUUGGCUGUACCAAAGUGUACGUGUGCAACAUGUGAUUAAUGAACAUAUAUUCGUAAAAAAGAGUAAUGCAAUAAUAGACGGAAGCUAUGCAUUGUUUAUUUAAAAAAGCUACGAUCAAAGCAGAAUGAUACAAAUAGUGCGAUAAGCAAAAGAUGGGACUAUUUAACAUGUCCUUUCCAGGGGCGAGCUGCGGAAUGGUAUGUGAAACAGAUAUACUGCUCGUUAUAGAGACCACCUUAGAGUUCCAUAGUGCGGCGUAGCUUUCUGCUUCCCUGGUUGUAUCGUUUGUGCGGCAAUUGUACUGCUGGGCAAGCCUUCCGAAGAAUGGAGUCCUGAAAAUAAGAGAAAAUUAAAAAAUCGGCAGCCCCUAGUGCGGUUUAAGGCGCGUUUCGGGCGUGCCGUGAUGGUGCCCCUCCCCCUGUGCCCAUGAUAUUUCCAGCGCGUAGUUAUGUACGCGCAACACUGGUUUCGCACGUUCGCGAGGGCUGCGGUUGGGGCCGCAUUGCUAUGCUUGCUCGGAACGUGCCAGGCGGUCUUGUUGUAGGUUACCCCGGCCGCGCUUGACGGUGUCCAGUCGUUUAAUGGCCGGACUGGAGAAUUGCCUUGAGAGGCUGCUUUGUACUUCCGCUGUGAUAGCCGCCAUAUGCUCCUCCGUUCGGAGAGAGCGUUUGGUGUUUCCAUUGACCGUGAUGGCUCCUCGAGGGCCCGGCAUCUUGAGCUUGAGGUAUGCGUAGUGCGGCACCACAUUGAACUUGGCAAAUGCGGUUCGUCCGAGCAGUGCGUGAUAGCCACUGCGGAACGGGACUAUGUCAAAGAUUAACUCCUCGCUUCGGAAAUUAUCCGGAGAUCCGAAGACCACUUCAAGUGUAACUGAGCCUGUAUAGUUGGCCUCUACACCUGGUAUGACGCCUUUAAAGGUCGUUUUAGUGGGUUUAAUCCUCGAGGGAUCGAUGCCCAUUUUCCGCACUGUAUCCUGGUAAAGCAGGUUCAGGCUGCUGCCGCCGUCCAUAAGGACUCUAGUGAGGUGAAAUCCGUCAAUAAUUGGGUCUAGAACCAAUGCGGCGAAUCCGCCAUGACGGAUGCUAGUGGGGUGGUCCCUUCGGUCGAAAGUGAUCGGGCAGGAAGACCAUGGGUUGAACUUUGGGGCGACUGGCUCCAUUGCGUAUACAUCCCUUAGCGCAUGCUUCCGCCCCCUCUUGGGGACGUGGGUUGCGUAUAUCAUGUUCACCAUCCGCACUUGUGGGGAAAAACCUUUCUGUCCACUAUUGUUCGACAGCCGGGGCUCCUCCUCGUCAUCGCUAUGCAGCCCCAUGUCUCUGCUUUCGGCAUUUAACUUGCCUGCCUGCUUGAACACCCAACAAUCCCUGUUGGUGUGAUUGGCUGGUUUUUCGGGGGUGCCAUGUAUCUGGCAUGAGCGGUCGAGUAUUCGGGCCAAACUGGACGGGCCCGUAGUAUUUAUUUUGAAUGGCUUUUUCCGCUGACCGGGUUUAGGGCCUCUGAAUCCGGCAUUAACUGUCGUAUCCUUGGCAUUGUCGCCGUUAAUGCGGCGCUCUUGCUUGUUGCGACAUGACCUGCCACUACUGUCCUUGGUAUCCGAAUUACCAGGGCUCUUGGUCAUGUUUUUGCUGUGAGCUAGCCAGCUGUCUUCUCCCGCACAAAAGAGGGUCAUAAGUGUCGUGAGGGCUGCCAUAGAUUUUGGCUUUUCCUGUCCUAGGUGCCGUGCAAGCCACUCGUCGCGGAUGUUAUGCUUGAAGGCUGCUAGGGCCUCUGCGUCCGGACAGUCGACGAUUUAAUUUUUCUUGGUUAGGAACCAUGUUCAGAAUUGUUUGGCCGAUUCCUCUGGCUGCUGAAUUAUGUGGCUAAGGUCAUCGGCGUCUGGUGGUUGCACAUAAGUGCCCUAGAAAUUGUCGAGGAAUGCGGUUUCUAGGUCCUCCCAACAACCAAUUGAUUCUGCUGGCAAGCUGUUAAGCCAAUGCCGAGCUGGUCCUUUAAGCUUGAGUGGGAGGUAUUUGAUGGCGUGUAGGUCAUCACCGCGGGCCAUGUGGAUAUGAAGGAGAUAGUCCUCGAUCCAUACCGCAGGAUCUGUUGUGCCAUCGUAUGAUUUGAUGUUCACGGGUUUGAAACCCUCGGGGAUUUGAUGAUCCAUUACUUCAUCUGUGAAGCAUAGUGGGUGUGCGGCGCCUCCGUAUUGGGCUAUAUCACAACGCAGCUCAAACGAGCUUUGUAUACUGUGUUCGGCCCGGUCGGAUUGACUGUAUCCGGAGUAACGAUUACCGUCUGAUGUCAUGGGGCGCCCACGCGAUCCGUAGAUCGAUCUUGUUUGCCUUGCCUUGUCCUCCAAUACAUCUCGCAGGUCUGGCGCAUUUUCCCGUGCCUUGGUAUUUUUUGAGAGGCGCCGGGGUGCGGCUUGAGUGGAGGGCCGAGAGGCCUCUCUGUCGCGGCCACGGGGUGGCCGGUCGGCCGCAUCAUAUGCUGGUGAUUUAGGUUUAGGUGCUUCCUCCUCUAAUCGGGGUAGCAACCUGCGCUUUGGGUAGCUCUUGGUGGGGCGUUCGAGUUCAUACUCUUCGGCCGCAAGGACUUCAGUCCAUCUGUCGGCUAGCAAAUCUUGAUCAUCUGUAAGCUAUUGCUAUUUUUUCUUGAGGCUGCUCGCCGUGGCUAUAAGCCUGCGUUUGAAACGCUCUUGUUCGACGGGAUCCUCCGGUACGACAAAUUCGUCGUCGUCGAGGCUUGCCUCGUCUUUGGAGGGAGGCAUAUAAUUAUCGUCCUCGACCUCUCUGUCUGCCACUCUCUCAUGAGGGCUGGCUUCUCCAUCCUCCCGUGCUGAAUCUUGCUGGAGGUGGUUGUCUUCGGCACUGUCUGGGGUGUUAUUAUCUCCCAUGCCGAAAUCACCGUUUUUGCUUUGACGGGAUUUAGAGCGGCGCCGCUGACGCCGACGCUUAGGCUGCUUCUUGGAGGGGUCAUCCUCCGCUGUUCCAUCGCCACUGCCUUCUUUUGGGGUGUCCACCAUGUAUAUAUCAUACGACGAGGUGGCUUUCCAGUGCCCUAUAGGUGCUGGUUCUUGAUCGUCUCCUGCAUCGGCGUCCAUACUGUCGAUGUCUUUGGAGUCAAAGUCGAGCAUGUCGGUUAAAUCAUCGAUAGUGGCUACGAAGUGGGUGGUGGGUGGGCUUUGAAUUUCUUCAUCAUCCGCAUCCCAACCUUGCUGACCAUAGUCCGGUCAGGGCUCUCCUGAUAAAGAGAGAGACUUUAGUGAAUUUAGAAUAUCGCCGAAGAGCGAGUGCUGAAAGAUGUCUGCGGCGGUGAACUCCAUGAUCGGCGCCCAAUCGGGUUCGAUCGGUAAGGGCGCGGAGGGCUCGGAGUCUGGAGAGGAGUCCGGCUCCUUGGAGUCACGGGCUUCAUAGAGAAUAGGGCUGGUGUUCGGCUCGAUUGCCGUAGAGAUUGCAGCCCCCGAGGCGGUGUCCAACCACCCAUCCUUGAUUGGCGCAGUUGGCUCCGAAUUAAGGGUCGGAGCUGAUGCGGGUGCGGCCUCCAGGGCACUGUUCGGCGGCAGAGCUAGAUCAUGCCCAUCGUGAAAGUGCGGCGCGCUCGGCUGCGGCUCGAAUCCGUCGAAGAUCAAGUCUCCGCGGAGAUCGGCCGUGUAGUUCAAACUUCCAAAUCUGACCUGAUGGCCAGGGGCGUAGCUUUCGAUCUGCUCCAGAUGGCCAAGCUAAUUGGCCCGCAGUGCAAAGCCACCAAAUACGAAGAUCUGUCCGUGGAGAAAAGUCUCACCCUGGAUCGCAUCAUUGUUGAUGAUCGGAGGAUCCAUCGGGCCUAAAAGUGACGACACAGAGGAACUCUCAAUGAAAGCACCAAUGUCGGUGUCAAAACCGACGGAUCUCGGGUAGGGGGUCCCGAACUGUGCGUCUAGGCGGAUGGUAACAGGAGACAAGGGACACAGUGUUUUUACCUAGGUUCGGGCCCUCUCGAUGGAGGUAAAACCCUACUCCUGCUUGAUUAAUAUUGAUGAUAUGGGUAGUACAAGAGUAGAUCUACCACGAGAUCAAGGAGGCUAAACCCUAGAAGCUACCCUAUGGUAUGAUUGUUGUUCGUCUUACGGACUAAAACCCUCCGGUUUAUAUAGACACCGGAGAGGGCUAGGGUUACACAGAGUCGGUUACAAUGGUAGGAGAUCUACAUAUCCAUAUCGCCAAGCUUGCCUUCCACGCCAUGGAAAGUCCCUUCCGGGCACAGGACAAAGUCUACAAUCUUGUAUCUUCAUAGUCCAGGAGUUCGGCCGAAGGUAUAGUCCGGCUAUCCGGACACCCCCUAAUCCAGGACUCCCUCACCCAUACAACACCAUACUCCAUUCACCCAGGAGGAACCAAAAUGCACAAGGAUUUACAUGAGAAGUUUUGGUGGCACGGGAUGAAAAGAGAUGUAGCUGUGUAUGUUACACAGCGCAACUCGUGUCAGCAUAUAAAGGCAGAACAUCAUAGACCAGCAGGAUUAUUGCAGCCACUCAGAGUACCUGAAUGGAAGUGGGGUGAAAUAGGAAUGGAUUUUAUUGUCAGAUUACCGAGAUCACGACACGAGAAUGAUGAUAUCUGGGUUAUCACGGAUUUAUUAACCAAGGUGGCAAUUUCAUUCCGGUAAAAACAACAUACUCAACUCACAGGCUUGCUAAGUUAUACCUCUCUCGAAUUGUUUGCCUACACGGAGUACCCAAGACCAUAGUCUCUGACAGAGGCACUCAGUUUGUCUCAAGGUUUUCGGAUCACCUGCAGCAGGCCCUAGGAAUGCAACUGGUUUUCAGUACGGCAUAUCACCCACAAACAGGGGGACAGACUGAACGGGUAAACAAAAUAUUGGAAGACAUGCUGAGAGCUUGUGUUCUUACUUAUGGAGCCAGUUGGGAGGAUAGUUUGCCAUACGCGGAAUUCUCAUACAACAACACUAUCAGGCAAGUCUAAAGAUGUCACCCUUUGAAACACUGUAUGGCCGAAGAUGUCGUACCCCACUCAAUUGGUCUGAAACCGGAGAUAGCCGAAUCUUUGGCCCGGAAGUUCUCAAGGAAGCAGAAACGAAAGUGAAACUUAUUCGGGACAGACUGAAAACAGCUCAGAGCCGGCAGAAAAGCUAUUAUGACCAGAAACAUCGUCAGGCCAGUUUUGAACCCGAUUAGUAUGUGUACCUCAGGGUAUCCCCGAUGAGAGGACUACAUAGAUUUAAGGUCAAAGGAAAGCUAGCACCGCGGUUUGUUGGAAAAUUUAGAACAAUUGCAAGGAGAGGCAAGGUUGCCUACCAACUAGAGCUACCAGCAUAAUUGUCACAUGUUCAUGACGUGUUCCAUGUAUCACAACUACAGAGAUGUGUUAGCAACUCGGACAAACAAGUCCAACACCAGGACCUGGAUCUUCAACAAGACCUUACAUAUAAGGAGCGCCCGAUAAAAAUCUUGGAGGAGUGUGAACGGAGGACCCGACAGAGCGUGAAUUUUUUUAUAAAGUUUAGUGGAGUAAUCAUACCGAGGAAGAAGCAACUUGGGAAAGAGAGGAUCACCUCAGGACUGAAUAUCCGUACCUGUUUGAGGGACAGCUGAAAUCUCGGGGACGAGAUUUUUCUUAAGAGGGGUAGGUGUUGUAACACCCCAAAAUUAUCCCUUUUUUUUAAAUUUUAUUUUCAAAAUGGUUUAUUUAUUUGGAUGAGUCUUUGGUUUGGUUAUUUUGUCUAAUAUCAAAAGCAUUUCUUAGGUUAGAAGAAUUUUUGUGGCAUUUAAAAUGUUCCAAGGAUUUGGUCACUUCACUCUUUUCAAACACUUCUAACUCAUCCCAAAAGUCUAUUUUGUCACUCUAAAUUCCAAUCCUAGUCUUCCUCACUUUCUAGGACAGUGUCCAACACCUCACUUCUCCACAAAAAUAUUUUUCCUCAUAUUUAAUGAAUUCCCAAGGUGGAAUUUAUAUUUAUCAUGGUUUCUUUAGUUUACAAAGGAGCCACAUUCUAGGUGACUCCUCUACGCCCACAAAAAUUACACCAGAAACUAGACAGUACCCACAACCCAUUUCACCAAAAUAAAUGGGGUUCCACAGUUCAAAAUUUCCAAAUUCCAUGGAAUUCAAAUUUGGACCAGAUUCACAUUUCAUGGUCGAAACCCAAUUUUCCUUGCUCCAAAAAUUCUGAAAUUUCUCCAGACACUCUCUGACGCAUAGAAAAAUCACCACAAAUAUUCUCAAAAUUUUCUAAAAUGUCUAGAGCUCUCUAACAUUUUAUCAAACACCUGCCGUGCAUUGUUCACCACUGUCAAAAAGUUUCAGUAAAAAUCAGAGGUAACAAAAGUUCAGAGCUAGAGGAAGAUCGAUGUUGUGCACUUCUCCUCUUCCACUUCCCCGUGCGGUGUCGUCUACCUGAGGCAUAAAUGAGAUGCCCGGACCCCUCUAGUCAGUGCCUCACCGCCGACCAGCACAGUGGCUAGCCGGUGCACCUGCCACCGCCCUCGGCAGCAGCGGCCGAGCGGAUCAGCUCGCCGACCAGCACCUUGACUCCCCUACUACUCCCCUGCCUACCACCUCUCCAUGCGGUACCUCUUCUGCGGCGUUGACCCACCGCCCAAACCGCCUCGCGCCUGGCUGGUAGUCGCUGGAGCCGAUCGCCGCCGCCACACCCGCGCGGACACCUCGCCGUGGAUAAGGCCGUAGGAAUCAGAUCCGCCCAUGUUACUUCUUCUGGAGUAUUCCCUCGACCUCAUCCACUCCUCACCGCCCCUGACCGUCGUCCAAACCUACCUCAUCGUCCGGAAUAACUCCCGCGUGAUUCACUCCGGCACUGACCUGCUCGGACCGCCUAUAAAAGGCCACCCUGAGCCUCGUUCAUCACCCACACCAGUCCACCACCAUUCCAAUCUACCUCCCACACAUCACCACGACCUCGAGAAGGUCAUCUCCCCCGGCUCCGACUACCGAUCCGCCGCCACCCUCCCCGAUCAGCACAACCACCACCACCAACCACCGACGCGGGGCGCUACCCCGAACACGUCCCGACCAUCACCGCCUCCUGAAACGCCGACGAUCGCCGCCGGUGACCACCGCCUCCCCUUUGUACACGCGCGCGUAAAGCGCGUUUGAAUUUCAAACCUGACGGGUGGGGCCCACCCGUCAGUAUUUUGUUCUUUUCUGUUAUUUUCGGAAGCAUCUUUUUCUGGUUUACGCUUUCUUCUCUGGGAAGCGUAUUUCUGGCCGAGGCGUUUUCACUUAUUUUCGCAGGGACCCGCUGGCAAUUAUUUUGUUACAAAGAGGUCCCUGGUUUUGAAUCCUUAAUAACUUUUAGACCACAGAUCAGUUUCAAUUGUUUCUUUUUUCUGAAAUUCCUGUUUUUCACUCUAGUUUAUUUUAGUAUUUAUUUAAAAAUAGUUUGGGACAACUUUUUGUGCGGUUGCAAAAAAGUUGAGUUUGGACUUCUAUUUUCAGAAAACGAAGAGGGGAACUAUACCAGGAGUUUUGAAGAACCUCUUGCUGGUUACUUUGGUCAAGGCAAGCAUUACUGGACUUGGGUUAUAAUGUAUUACCUGCAUGGUUGCAUCAGAGUAGUUUUGCACCGUAUAGUAGUAAUAGUAGAAGCAUGCAUCGGUCACCACUACAAAAAAAA
rnacentral:lncRNA from 1 species